rnacentral:lncRNA from 1 species
CCCCGGUUAAGGAAAGAGCAUCAUUCUAGUGAAAAAAGUCACUAUAGGUACAUAAUUUAAAAUUGUAGUAAUAACUUGUAUUGUUCAAUAAUUCUAUAAUUCUUACAUCCAUAAAAAAACGACAUUCAAUGAACCACCGUAAACCCUAGCCAUAAAAUUAGAAAACAUUUACAUAUAACUAAAAUUACAACCAACAGUUCCAAAAUUUUCAUAAAUAUAAAAGAACUAAUGAAAAUAACAAAAAGAAGAAUAAAAGAUACCCAAAUUAUCCCGAGAAGCAGGUACAGGGAGCUUUAUCGACACGACCUCAUCUCUCUGAGCCUCGGCCAUUCUUAUUACUUGCAAAUCAACUACAAAAUCACCUCUCAAAGUAAAACAAUACGAAGACCAAUGCACAACAAAUUAGAAUGGGUUGUUGUGGGUAUGUCUUGGAGGCUCCCCAUCCAUGUAAAAGAAAUAAGAAAAGAAUGAAUCAGGGGUAGUUUUGAGUUUGCGUUUGAAAAUGGAUGAGGUGAUGGUCAUGUGUGGAAGGAAAAAAGCGUGUGAAAAUGAAGAUGAGGUGAUGUUGUGUGAAUGGGUGGGGGGGGGGGGGGGGGGGAAUAAAAGAAAAAAAGGAUGUUGAUGAUGAUUAGAGGUUAACACGUGUCCUCACCUCUUUUAUAUGUUAGUAGACAGAUAUCAAGAAAAUGAACGAGAAAAUAAAAGAAAAUCAAUGAAAAGAGAGAGAGAGAGAAGAAAAAAAAAAAGAGGAAGAAGACAGAAUGCAACUGAGGCUGCCGAUUUUUGAAUUAAUAACUUAGCGAAAUUGUAACACAAGUCCUCAAAUUUUGAAAAAGAAAUUAAAACGAUCCCUUAGUUUUUGAACUCUCGACGCCAAGGCAUCUCUUCUCUACCAAAACAAAACUAGAAUUGGGUACGUUUUCGUAGUCGAAUCCCCUAGAUAGUUGCAUGUCAGGUCCUUCAACCUUGAUUUUGCAUAACUUGGGCCUCAAAAAUUCAACUUUUAUAUAAGUUUUUCGCUCCAAAAAUUGCAACCAAGUCCUCCAACUUUCCAUCCUUGUGCAAUUUGGUCCCCAACUUUCAUGUUUUGUACGCUUUUGGUCCAUUUUCUUUUCUUUUUGCCUUUUUUUCCAUUGGGUGUUUAUAACCAACGAAAGCCCAAAUUAUCCAAUUAUGAGUUGAUAUCUGCUUUUUUCAUCAAUAAUAAGCAUAUUUAGACAUUAAAUAAGUGUACAAAAAUAUAUAUCACAUUGCAUUAAAUUCAAGGUAGGCUUCGAUUCCCAACGAGAUAGGGAAAAGGGCCUCGUGUCCAUCGUAGAAGAUAUGUAUGAGCAUGAGAAGGCAUUGGACGAGUUAGAGGUGGCGUAUGUUAGCUGCGGAGAAAGUAUGGCACGUUGACCAGAACUUAGGUCAAAGUUGUAACCUAUUUCCCGAGGUCAUUAAAUCCCUCCAAAUUAUUAGAGGUUGAGGUACUACUAAUGUAGGAAAAUGUUCUUCAUCUUGAAGGUCAACUAGGUCUCGUUGGUUAUCAUAGUGGCUCAAAGCGAGAGUGACUUUUCACUAGUGAAGAAAUCUAGGGACAUGAGCAUCGACAAGGUUCUUGAUAGAGAAGACAUAUACGUUAUGUCCUAGUCAUGUAUCUACCAUGACAUCUAAUAGCAAUUUCUAUAGGUGGCAUCAAUGAUGCAACAAAAAUGGUGCCUAGAGAGACUCGGUUUUGUGUUGGGAAAACACGAAAGAUGAGUAAAAUAAGACCAUCGAACAAUUUUCCGAAAAGGCUAGUGAAGAUUUGUUUCUAUUGCCCCUUCGAUCCUCAAGUCAGAAAGUUGUUGGGGGAGAAUAUAUACUUAGACUAUAAUCACAAAUAAAAUUCAGCCUGAAAAAGGCGAACGCUUGAGCACCUCCCUUACAACCAGUGAGCAGUUUUUGAGUAGUCUUUUGUAUUAUCAUCGAACCUUUCCCUCCCAAUAUCGAAUUUAGUCAAUUUAAAAUGCGUUAUAAAACUAACUCAAAUUCCACUAUUCAUUUAGAAUAGCAUUUCAAAUUUGUGUAAAAUAUGUUGCAACUUGUGGCUGAGAAUUUGGAGUAUGAGUUGUGCUGCAAUUUGACACUCAUUUGAAUUCUAAUUAGAUCCCAUUAGUCAUUGAUGAUCUUGUUAGACAUAGCUCAUUGAUGCCUUUAAGACUUAUACUAUCCAUCCAUUGAAUUUUAACUUUAAUUACAACUCUGUUACUUUAAUUUUGUCUAAGAAAUAAUCAAUUACAACUAAACACAUAACAAAUUCCCCCCUCGACAUUCCAUGAUAAAAUCGCUUAUUUCAAAGUUAAUAAUAAUAAAAUUUAAAAAAAUAAAAGAAAAAAGAACCACUAAACCACAAUCCACCCAAAGACUCAACAUAGCAACAUACAUCAAAAUGUUGUAAAAUGUCCUAGACAACGUUUUUUGAACAUUGCAAAAGGUCAUUUUUUAGUAGUGAAUGGCUCAUGCAUAAUUUUGAAUACUUAGCGAAAAUAGAAACCCAAAACUAAUAAAUAUGCAAACUUAAGGAAUUUUAAAUUCACUUAGUGGCACAACUAGACCAAUGGUUGCAAAUAUGUCUAUCCUUGUCAUAUAGUUCUCUAGUUGAGCUCAUUGGGACUUUGAAAGGCUGGCUUCUCUUGCAAGAAGUUUAUUAUUUUAAUUAAUCUCUCACUUUACCCUCCACCCUUUUUUAUUUUCAAAAGAAAGCAAACUCAUCUACUUACACAAAAGCUCAUUCGAUUCAAAAAGAUGCUUUUGUCAUUUCCUUACUUUCUUUUGACCUCCCUCCCUCACCCAUGAACGGAAAGAAAAAAGAGAACUUAUUCGUUUGCCGUCUCACCUCUUAUAUUUCUCUCAAGUUUUUCUCUCAAUUUAUCGAAGAAAAACCUACGAGAAAUUUGAUGUAAAGAAAGUGAAUUUUGAAACGAAAAGUGAUCAACUUUAAGGUCAAGCAUGGAAGUCGUAUGAUUAAAACUUCAAAUUCCAUGUGCAAUUCUCUAAAAGAGAAUUGAAUAUUUAUAUAAAUGAGGACAAAAAUAAUCAUUAUGUAAUUUUUUAGAGAUUAAGCCAUAUAUAUAUAUAUAUAUAUAUAUAUCGUUCCUCCUACACAUAGAUUUGACUAGUAUUUUUGACAAAUAAUCGUGACAUUUAGAUUAAGCAAAUCCAACGACUAAUAUCCCAUGGAUCUCAAAUGGUUAUAACUAACUCUCCCAUGAUCCUAGUGAAGUACAUACUGACCGUUGAAUUUGCUUAAUAUAAAGAUAACGAUUAUUUGUAUACAUAUAUAUAUAUAUAUAUAUAUAUAUACACAUAAGAGCUAAUUUCAAUCAAAAUGGAGAAAGGCGUCAGUCAUCAUCUUUCCUAGACUAACUUGCCCAGGAGUGCUAAGUUGGAUUGGGUCAUAUCAUUCAACAAUUGUAGUCCCUUAACAUUCAGAAGUAUGAUGGCCAACUAAGCUUCUCUUGUGAUAUCAAAAUACGUUCCUAUGCUCGGUGUCAAUACUAUCUACACCAUGACAAUAAAAUAAAAGUUCGAACCAAAUUGUAAAGAAAAUUGUGUGAAAAAUAUGAUGUAAUAUUACCUGAAUAAUUGGAAGGUUCAGUAAAUAUAAAUCAGUAUGAACAACAAUAGAGAACUCUCUGUACUUUCUUGUACAAUUCGGCCACCUUUUCUUUCUUUGUGUCACUUUCACCUUGAUACAAUAAAAGGGUCUGAGUUUCACCUCCGUCUUUUAAUGUCACCAUAGACUUCUUUAUGAGUUUAUCAUAUAGACCCAAGCCUCAUCUCCACUCAAGUGUAGGGGUUAUGCUAGCAGCACAAGGAACCAAACCAAUCACCCCAAUAUUGAAAUCAUUUUCUAAUACGUUAUUGGCAAAUAACAUAUUAGGUCCCACCCCCCAAGUUCCAUUUCUCAAUGUAAAGGCUCAUAUGCCCCCUUCCACGUAAACCCGACAUUAAUUCGUAGGAUUUAGGAUUGAGAAUAAUAUUCCGAUGGGAAAUAUCAAAUCCAACUGCCAUUAAUCACAUCGCCUUGGCCACACAUAUUGCUUUGUCCAGCUAUAAAAAAAGAUAGUUUUAUAGGCAUAGCACAUGAAGGGAGUCCAAAGUAUGAUCAUAAUUCAUGGCACUCUAUGUGAUAUCCUAAAUUUGAUGAAUUCAUAAAAAUUUGAAACUGUAAAAGAUGCAAGUUUUUUCUAUUGGAAAAAAAAGGUCAUAGAAAAAACUUGCAUCUUUUGUUAUAUUACAGUUUCAACUUUUUACGAAUUCACCCAAUUUAGACCAUUACAGAGCGUCCCUAAUUAUGAUCAUGCUUUCGACUCCGUUCACGUGCUAUGCCUAUAAAUCUAUCCUUUUUGUAGCUGGACAAAGCAAUAUGUGUGGCCGAGGCGGUGUGAUUAAUGGUAGUUGGACUGGAUAUUUCCCACCGGAAUGUCAUUCUCAAUCCUAAAUCCUACGACUUCAUGUCGAGCUUACGUGGAAGUGGACAUGUGAGCCUUUACAUUGAGAUAUCGACAAAAGAACUUGUGGGUGUGACAAAAUAUGUCGUUUGCCAAUAACGUACUAGAAAAUGAUUUCAACAUUGGGGUGAUUGAUUUGAUUUCUUGUAUUGCUAGCAUAACUCCUACAUUUGAGUGCAGAUAAGACUUGGGUCCCUAUGAUAAACUUAUAAAGAGGUCUAUGGCAACAUUGGAAGACGGAGGUGAAACCCUUACUCUUUUAUUGUAUCAAGGUGAAAGUGACACAAAGAAAGGAAAUGUGGCUGAAUUGUACAAGAAAAGUACAGAGAGUUCUCUAUUGCUCUAUUCAAACCAAGUGAUUAGAUUUGAGUGCCUAGGCAAAAGGGAUGUGUUCGAUUGCAAAUAAGGUCAAGGUUUCAUUCUAGAGAAGAUGGACUAUUCCACGUUAUUGCAAGGAUCGAAAACAAUGGCUACAAUUUGGAUCAUCAAGGUAAGUUUGUGAUAAUUUGCAUUUUCAAUGUUUCUUAUCUUUUCUCUUUGAUGCAUGUACUUAUUCGAGGUUGAAUCUUUUCAAAGAGGGAGGGAAUGAUAGAAUCCAAGGAAGGCAACUAGCUAUCAGGAGUUUGAUGUUUGCUGAGGAAAGGCUAAGGGCAACUUAAAGAUUAAUUAGAGUUAGUAAAGCUAUGCAAUCACUUGCUCAAGUUACUGAGUCCAAGAGAUUGACGUUAACAAGCCAAAGACCAAAUUUUAUGUUGAGCACGAGAGCAGAAACAAGUUGGAAUGUAUUUAAAUCAAGAACCCAAACUUAGAGACAAGAAGGAAGCCUACACGACCGCAUGAUACAAAUUGGAGACGCGAAUUUUUCAAAAUUCGUGAAAUCUCCUAAUUUAGUUAAAACUAUAUUUUGGGUAUCUUUAAUCUUUAGAAUUUGAUUUCGUUUUAACUAGAUUUAUGAAAUCUCCUAUUUUAGUUAAAACUCUAUUUUUUGGUUUUUUUUUAUUUUUAUUUUUAGCCUUAUAUUCCAUUUUAACUAGGGUUUUUACAAGUUUCCUAUAAAUAGGACUCAUUCUUUUCAUUGUAAACAAUUAACUUUUGAGAGAUAUUAUUGAGAAGCAUAAUUGCUCUCAACCUUUGUUCUUCAUUGAACUAAUUUCAAACUUAUCAAGAUUUAUUUUUUAUGGUGUUCAAACAAUCUGGUUGGGAUUCUUAAGUCCUGUGAUUACGAGGUCAAUAUAUUGUCAACAAUAGUGUUGGUUAUUUUGUUCAAUAUUUUUGGAUCAAACUCUAAACAUUGAUUCUUGGCAUUCUUGGAUUUGAAUAAGUUUUGUGUGGGUUUCGUAACAACUAUUGCUACACAGGUUCACAUCAAAAAGGUUCAAAGCCAAAAGACACCUCUCUUGAUGCCCUUUUUUUUGUUAGAGUCUGCAUUUCAUGUGUAUAUUAGUAAUUUUUUUUCGUGAGGGGGUUGUUAGAUACUAGUUAUUAUAAAAAGUUAAUUUUUAUCAAACUUUAACCAAAUACUUGUAUGGGUCCUGCUAUUCACAUAUGGCAAGUAAUGGGUUGAUCAUGUUAUACUCGUCGAAUAGAUGAAUUUGAUAUAUUUGGACGUCGAAAAUUAUUUUUGUAUGAAUGAGAAAUUACUAAAUUGAGUAGGAGUGAAAAAAUUAUGAUUUUUGAUAUAUAUAUAUGUAGGACAAUCGCUCAAGCGGUGGCUUGUGCCAAGUGAGCAGCGAGGCUCUGAAAUGAGCGCUCAAGCGGCACAGCCAACACCAAGUGAGUGACAUUCAACUUGUGCAACUUUUUGUGAAACAAAUUGAUUUUUAGGUUGUGUCUCUCUGGUUGCAACCCAUCAACCCCAAAUAAGGUAAGUAUAGAUAGGUUAACCAAUUGGUCAAAUUAGAGGCCCAAAAGAUAGUUAAAUGGGCUCACAAGUUUUUCUCUCAGUUAAUGGCCAUCCAAGGAAGUGGAUUGGGGCAUGAGCAACACUAAAAUAUUUAGGUUGCUUCAAGUGGCCCAAUAAACCUUUGGGUUGUACCAUCUUGAAUGUGGUUUUAGAUUCCCGUUCAGUCAUUUGGCUAAGCCGACUGAAAAAUAAACCGAGUUACAUCAUAGUUUGGGAUUUAUUGGGUAUCAAAAACCCAACAUCAAGGUUCAGCUCCAAGCAACCAAAGCAUGGAACACACUUCUUAAGAUUAAAAAAUAAUAUAGCACAUAUAUAACACAGUAAUUCUAACGACAAAAAAAAAAAAAAAUUGCAUCUGUUAUCAGGGGCGGAGCUAUGAAGGGUCCAGUGUGGGCAUAUGCUUGCACUGAACUUUGGCUCAUUUCAUUUCAGACUUCAAUUUUGGUUCUAGAUGCCCUCAAACUGGAAGGAAAAAACUCAUAAAAGUGAGUAAAUAAAUAACAUUGAAGAACCUUGAAGGUGAUGCAUGUAUUUAUAUGCACCAGGUUAUAUAUAUAUAUGGAGUGUGAGAGAAACUGGUUGCAGUCUUGCAGGGAAUUGAUAGAGUGAGAAGAGAAAUAGAUGAAGUGAGAGAAAGUGGGUUGAGUGUUGUGAUAGAGAGAGACUGAACUUGCAUGCAACAAAGUGGACAAAGUGAUGUAGAUAAUGAGGUGCCGUGUAUAAGUGUAUCGGUGUUUGAUGAGAGAGAGUGUGUGUUUUAUAACAAAAUAUUCCACAAAUUUUCAUUAAUUAAAUUGCUUCUUUAAUAUUUAAAUCUAACAAUUUGAUAUUAUAGAGUAGCAAUCAUAGAAAAAUUUUUGAGCUUCUGGGGUUCGUGUACAAAGGAAAAUUCUAAAGCUUCUAUAAAGUUUGUUUGAUUACAAAGAGGUAAAUUAAAUCACCACAGAAAACCUAAAAGUCCUAGACAUAAUGAAAAAGUUCAAUAACCAAAAAUUAUACCACAUGACAAAUUUACCGAGUUUUAUUUCCAAGGACAAGACUUACAAGAAGUAGUUGACGGAAGUGACACGAUACUGCUAGACUAAAUCAUGUCACUAUAAAAGUAGAUAAUCAAAGCGAGCACGGCUAUAUUUGUCAUAAAAACAACAAUCGAGAAAGAAUUGUUCGAGCAUGUAAAGGAUACGAACACAUAAAGAAAAAAAAAAUUUGCCCGCACUGAAUAAUAAUCUGAGCUCCGCCCCUACCUGUUAUUUGCUUUCAAACCACAGAAACAGAGAACGAAACCUUGAUAUACAAAAAAUGCAGUUUCACCUUUUUUAAGAAAUACUCUGCAGUAUUCGGGAAAUAUAUUUAGGUAUAGUUAAGGUACAUGGAAAAAUUAUGUGAAUCAAAAUAAAUAUGUUUGUCGCACCGGGAAAAACUUGCAAAAAUAGUCCUCUCGCCAGGAGGAAAUAUACUUACAUUGUAAUCUCCGGCAUAGUCCUGUAGAGUCCCAUCUUUCACUUCCAAUACCCAAUUAACAAUUUGCUUUAUAAAGUAUCGGUCAUGAGAAACAGUAAUAACAGUGUUUUGUACUCAUUUAUUGCUUCCUAAUGUGACGAAUAGAAUAAAUUAAGGGAGAAAAAAGGUAAAAUAAAUUAAGAAUAAUAUGAGAAAAGGGUAACAAGUGUAGAGGAGGGGAAGAGUGAAGAAAUCCCGAGCCUCAAGCAUUUCUUUUGAAGGUAUAUCCAAAUGAUUGGCUGGCUCGUUCAAAACAAGCAAAGUUGAAGGUUUGACCAUGAACUUGCAAAAUGCAAGUUGAGACUUAACCAAUGGAAAUGUUAAUUUUCUGACAAUGACUCAUUCCAUAAUAGAAAAACUAAGUUAUUGCACGUAAAACUGAUUUAAUGAAUGGGAAAUUUUGUGAAUUACAAGAUGAAUUUCUUCACGUGAAACGAUGACAGUAAACUAAGAGCAUUCAUAUCUAGUAAAACCAUGGUUCCAAAAUUAUUAUCUGUAACAGCCAAUUAGACUCAACUAAGCUUAAUUGCUCUUAAAAUUUUCAUCAUGCAAACUGAAAGUUGAAAAAUAACCAAUGGAGAAGGAAUGAAACGAACAGGAACUUUAGUGACAUAAGAUGCUUCACUUAGAGAAAUAUUUUAGUUCAAACUUUUGAAUUUGCAGCUUUUGAGGAGGGUAUAAUUUCCAAAUACCAUUUAGCAUGCAAACCGUUGAUGGAUCUAAAAAGCGACAUUAUUAAUAUGGAAAAGAAAAUGAGAAAUGAUACUCUGUAAAGAGGAAUGUGAAAAGGGAAUUGGUAUGUUAAAGCAAAUUCCUUAAUUCAAAAGUUAUAGCAAAAUAAAAAUAAAUUUGAAGAUUACAUUUACAUUUGACGUCGCUAUUGAAGAAUCAUGAAUAAGCCUAAUAUAACCAAAUAUGAAUUUCAGAUGAAGAAUACCCAUAUAUGAUGAUACAUUGGAUGCUAAUAUAACCCUGGUAACCCGUGGUUAAGACUGCAAUGCAUCGCAUGAUAUCUGCAUGUUCUAUUAUCAAGUCAUAUUGAGUAAUAAUGGAACUAACAAUUUGUAAAGUACAGCUCUAAUUACUGCAAUGAAUUAUUCAUGUUCAUAACUGGACAUAUAUCUGAAAUUUUAACAAAAAUUAUGGGCAUAGAUGUUAAGGUGGGCCGAACUCCACAAGUACUAAGUGUAGCAUCAAUAAGGCCAUUAGAAAAUAUUCAAUAAAUAAUGUAACUUCAGCAAAAAUAACUAAAUCAAAAAGCCAGCAUGCCACAGGUCGCACAACAUUAGGCUUCCGAUAAAGUAAAAAAAAAAAAUGAAUGCUUUCAUUAAGAAUGUUGAUAUCAAGGUUGCUGUUGAAAUCCAGCAUAACGGAAAGGUGAUUGUGCUACCACAGUACCCAAUGUAUCUCCAUCGUAAGAUAUCUUCAAUGCACCGAUAGUAACAAAAAAUUAAUAAAUAUACUCAACAUUUAACAUACUUGAAAGUCUCCAACCAAAAGAACUCCAAAACUCCCAAGUUUCUGAAUUUCACUUGUGCUGGACAAAAAUACAUGAUGACACAAAUCGGCCAAAAAAAAAAAAAAAAGGAAAUAUCAUAUGAUUUACAAUCAUAUUUAACUAUGUUUCUACUACCGAAUAGGAAUAUGAUACAAGUACAAAUCAUAUAAAUUAUUUAGUUGAAUAGGGUGUUGAAGGUUUAAAAAAACUUUAAAAAACCACAACACGAAUAUAUAAAUAUUUUAGAAGAAUAUUGCAACAUUGUUGAUUAAUUAGAAUCCAUUUAUAUGUGUCACUAGUUCAGAUGAUUAUUGUGUUUAAUCUAGUGAAGAGAAUGUAUUUUUGGAUGAUGGUAACCAUUAAUGUUACUAAAACAUGAGAUUCUGCAAUUUUUACUAAAGGCUUCAUAAGAGCCAAUAUUGUGUAAAAUUGAAAGACAAAGUUUUAUCAAUUUAAAAUAGAUAGUGACACUUUUAUCAAUUGACGGUGCAAUUAUAAAUCAAUUUGCUAAUUUUUAAACGUCAGAUCAAUAAUAUCAUUUUCCCUGUAUAUGUAUAUAUGUAUAUGACAAGUGUUAUUUAUCCACUUAUUUAGUGUCCUAAAUGAUGAUAUUUUUGUUAUGCUUUGGAUGCAUUAGUGCCUAAUUUGUUGUUUAUUACUUUUAUUAAGCAAAACUUAUGCUUGGACGAAGAUUGCGAGAAAGAAUGGAAAAGGGCUAAAAUGAAGGAAAUCUAAAGUUUUGGGACUAAAUUGCAAAUAUUAAAAGUCAAGUCGGAUUCACAAUGAAGAUUCGAGAGUAUUAGCAGUCAAUUGGAUGAGGAAAUAAGUCAUAAUCAAAGUAUUGUCACACAUCAACUUUUACCUGAAAAAGUUAUACUUCGAAUUUUCAGUUUUAGUUUGAGACCCAUGGUCGGCAUUGCAAACGUUUGAACUGAAAAAUUUGUAUUGUAGGAAAACUUGUAGCCUUUUGAGUUAUAUUUUCAAUGCACAUUGAAUAUUUUUAUUUAUUUUAAUUCAAGACUAUAGUUCAGUAUUCCUGAUUUUUCUUGAUUAGUUUUGCAUCACGUCAUAAUUAUUUGAUUGCUUAUCUUGCCUAUUGUAGUGUAGAAGUACUCACAAUGAGUUUAAAAUACAACAAAACUAACAUGUGUAAUUAAAUUAGGAAUAAUCUCUUUCGUACAUGAAAUCACUUAGAUAACCUGGACUAAAUGCAUGAUUUUCAUAUGAAUUUAAACUAGGAAUAGGAUAGGGUCCUGUUAAUCAUACGUUUGUGUGUCUUGGAAGAGAGCAUUUAACAUAUGAGCGUUAUUGAUUGUUAACAAUGCAAGCAUUUACUGGAUUAUUAGUCAAGAGUCGAAAUAAUUGUCAAUAUGGGGAUAUAUGAUUCCAAUACAACCAUUUAUACAUUACAGAACCACAUUUUAACUAAUUUAUUAUAAUAGACUUAGCAUAGAAACAAAACCUAUGUUUUAAUUUUACUACCCUUCGGAUUUAAUAAUAACUAUUGAGCUUAAAUUAGACCUUAUUACUUGUGGGAACGUUACUUUUUGUAUGGUCCUGAUAUUCUUAAGUUGGUUGAUAUAGCCCAUUUAAGAAACGAAUUAUGGAAGCUCAGCCUAGUUAAGGUUAUAAAAGCCUAAGCAAUAAGUUAUUUAAAAGUUGUAAUACCCCAGACUUAAUUUUACAUGCUUGAUUUAGCCAAUAUGAUUCAUUCAUUACUUGCUAUUUACGUUGCCAUUGCAUUUGCAUUAAUAGUUCGAAAUAGUUUUCUCUUAUUAUGGUGCAUUUGAUCAUUGAAGUUUUAUGAUUUCUAUAUGGUAUUAGUCUCCGACCCCUGACCUAGGUUGCGAAUCUUACAUUGAGCUAUAUUAGAAAUUUAGGUUAAUCUAGAUGUUAGAUAUUAAUGUGUUAAAAAAUUAGAAUCCUGAAAGUGUCGAAGUCAUUAUUGGUAGAGUUUGUGCUUUUAAUUCAGUUAAUCAUGUUACCCUAAACCCUAGUUAAGUCUUUUACAUUUAUGGGACAUGAGGCAUGAAGUGACAUGAUCAAAACACAAUUGAAAUUGUUUGAAAAUCAAGUGUCAAUCAGGUAAGUAAUUGAGUCAAGGAAGGUACUCGAUAAAACAUAUUAUGUUCUUAGGGUUGUAAAGACAUUAAAAUAGGUCAAGGACACUUGAUUUGUACCUACAAAAAUAGAUGGAAAAUUAGACAUUCACAACAACAUAACACCUUAUGCUCGUUGAUUCGUCGUUAUAAUGGUUAAUUCAUUUAUUCCUAAGCAUCAAUCAAGUCUAAAAUCUUGAUUUGGUGUUCGGCAAAAGGGAAUGAUUUUUUGCUGUAAAUCGAUUAUGUGUGAUGAAUUAAUAACAUAUUUACAUGUACAUAUAUGCUAUCUAAGUGUGAUAAAAUUUUAAGAAGGAAUGAAUGUGAUUAAGGGUGUGAAAAGACGGAUGAAACGAGACAUGGCAGCAAGUAAAACCCAAAACAGAUUUUGUCCAAUUUGGUAGUUUGCAUAGUUUCAACAUUUAAAUGUGCAAUAAUCAUUUCUAAGGCUACAAGAAUUAUUUUUAAUAAGUGUUAGGUCAUUAGAGACAAUUUGAUGACAUUGACAUUCAUGAUUAGACUAGGAAAAAAAUGGAAUUUAUGGGAUUGUUUUGAAGUACAAUUGGUAACUUGAAGUAAUAACAUUAUUUGAACUAUUUUGGCAUUGAUGUUCAUAAUAAAGAGUUGUGUGUGUGCUAGGGUUAUCGAAUUGUGGAUCAUGUUUAAUUCUAGAUGGUAAUACUUGUAGUCUUCUGACAUUAGGUGAAAAGGGGACUUGACCUAUACCAGUAGAAAGAUCACAAACAAAGAUGAAAACGUAAAUAAAUAUCCAUUUUCAAUUAUGAUGCAAGAACAUAAUAUUCGUAAAAUAUUCUCUCUAUAGAAUAUUGUUGCAACAUUUAUAUGAUCUUGAUAAAGAGAUUAUAGCAUACCAUAUGAUGGUUAUGAUGAUUGAGCGUGUGGCUCUAAAGUAUAUUGAUUGAGCAUGCCAUUCAUUAACAUCUGUACAUAUGUGCGCGUAUGUCCAUUGUUAAAAAUCUAGCAUGCAUGACAUGAUUAUAAAAAAUGAAUUUAUAUUAUAAAAUAUUUUAUUGACCACUACUAUGGCAUCAAGGCAUAUUAGAUAUGCCAAAAAAAUUACGAAUGUUGUAAAUGAGCAAUAGAGGAUUAUUAAUCUUAGAUAAUAAGACAUUAGGAUCUACGUUUCAUCUCUUAUGUUGAUAUCGAAAUUCUUGGCCAAUGCGAGUUCAAAAGUCGAAAAAAGUGUCAACAAUUUAGCUUAAGAGUGCGAUGAAAUAUAUAAUCAAUUAUAGAGAUUGAUACAUCUCUGUAUUUCAUAAUUGAUUGGGUUAUAUUGACGAAAAGAUUACAAUCGAGGACGACAAAUGUGAAUUAAUUAGAUUAAUUAAUGAUAAAUUGAAAUGAUAGUUUCAAUUUAUCUUAUUUUGGACCAAAAUAAUAAUUUACCCCGUUUGACAUCGUGAUUGAAAAUCUACUGUGUUAAAUACAAAAGGCGAGAACUAGAAUAAUGAAAUUAUGUUUAUAUAAUUGACAAGUGUGGGAUACUUGUAAAAUUAAUUAAUUGAGUUGUUUAUUAAUGAGCUUAAGUUAUUAAUAAAGUUAAGUUAAUUAAUUAGAUUAAUUAACUUAUAGGCUAAAGUUUAAUUAAUUAGAUUAAUUAAUUAAAGUUUAGUAGGUGUGUCAAGCCCACUUAACAUCUAUUGAUAAACAAUGGAAAAAGUCAUAAAUGCCUUAUUAAUAUAAACUAUUCUAUUUUAUGCUGCUCAAUUGUUUAAUUAACCUAAAUCACUGCAAAACCCCAAUAAAAUCCCGCAUUACUAUAUAUGAAACUUCCCCUUAUUGGAUGCAUAACUGAAAAGUUCCCGGAGUCCUAUAUGCUGAACAUAUGGAGAUUCAAAAUUCAAAGAGCAAAUGAUUAUUAUGAUGCAAUUAACAUUACGGAUUACUCAUAAUCGCCCAUUGUGAAAGAAUUGUUGCGGUAAUAUCUUCCUGUGUGUGCAAUCGGAACUUUGAUUCAUCAGAAUUAUCUUCCACUCGUUUCUUUUAUAGAGAUUACAGGUAAUCAUAACAUAUCCGAACCUAACCUAAGCUACUGCAACACUAAAUUUACUUCAUCCCUGUUUUAACAUUCUAAUUUUUCGGGUAGUUUGGAAUUGAAUCAGGUUUUGUCACGUCUAUAAAUUUCAAUAUUGUUGUACUCGGUACUAUGAGUUGCAUUUGUAUGAUAGUGCCACAAAUAUCAAUGAAUGCAGCUUAAUAUACACAUAAUACAGCUGAUGUUAUUAAUCUCUGAGUAGCUUAUACUAACAUGACCAGGGAAUUUAUACAUGAUUUUCUAUUGAGGGCAAGGAAUCUGCAUUUGAAUACGUGGAAAUAGUCUUCUAGGUUCAGGUUUGAACUGGAAUGAUUUUCCUUUGAGUUGGGUUUCUUUGAAGGAAAUUCUUGAGUCAUCACUUUUUGAUAAAGUGGAAUUGUUUUCUAGUAUUUCUCUUCAUGAUCAGAACCUGCUCUUUGAUUGUACCAAUCACGUUCUAUAGGACAUUUGAAAGACUUAUUUAGGAAGCUUCAUGGGGAUAUCAUUUUUUUAAAUAGAAUGCUUGCCCAAUCCCAACGGUUAUGACUCUUAUCCAUGAAGUAUGGGGAAAAGGUCAAAUCAUCUCUCUUUCAGCAUCCACCACCACGGCCUCUGAAUCAGCUUAUCAAGAAGGAUAUGAGAAACAUGAAAAAUGGAUAUGCCUCCAGUAAGAUAUCGAGCAUAUUGGUACAGAAUUGGGAGUGAUGAUUUUCAAUGAAUUUGUCGAGGACACCAUGUCGAGUGUUGCAAGUGAUACUUCAAUAUAUGAAUUCACUGUGCUUCGAAUCUAAUCCGAGGAUAUUGAAGAUAUUAACUUGUAAGCUUGACCAUCCAUGUCUCACAAAGUUCUCUAGUUUUCAUUCGUUUUUCACAUACGAUAUGUCUGGUAAGGCAUAUUAAUUAGUAUCGAAAGAAAUUAAAAUUAUAUUUAUUGCCACGUCCAACACAAUCUAAUACUUCAUGCCAAAAUGCACUUGAGCUUUGAUUAAAAAUUAAGACGAUAUACUUCGACAUUCUCCAAUGAAAUCUCAUGGAUAUAAUUUAGGAUUUCUAAAGUACAGAUGACUCUAGCAUGUGUAUUCCAAUAGCAGAAGUGACACAUAAAGGAUCAUUGUCAAAACAUAGCCGUCUACAAUGGACUCUCCAAAAGAAGAAAAAUUAUCAGUUUUUGCUUCUUGUAUCUAACCAAAGAAAGGUAGAGACAAGCUUGUUGGUGAAGAAUUUUCAGGGUUGUGUGUUUUGUACCCAUAUUGUUUGUGAUUGUCUUUUGUUUUAAAUCCUUGUUUUCUCAUAGAUUUGAUUUGUAAUUAGAGUCAAGAAAUUUCACUAGAGAUGAGUGGUAAGUGAAACAUUGUAUAGAAGAAUCCAAAGUAAAUCCUUUUGGGGAUAUUAUGUACUAAGAGUGUCUAUCAUUUACCUCAACUUAGACUCUUUACUUUUGACAGAGCUUUUGUUUAUAUGAUGAUGUAUUAAAUUUCGUUACAUUCAUAUUUCACCCAUUGUAUUGUGUCGUAGUGCCUACCAAAGAUACCCUCGUAACAAAAUGAACAAAGAAAAUAACAUUUCAUAAUUUCGUAUGAUGUACAAUAUUUGUUCCGUAAUCAGUAUCCAAGUAGCACUUUGGAGUUAUCAAAGCAAGGCAUAGAUUUUGGAGUUUCUACAAUGUACUAAGAUUACAGAGCCAAGGCCCAAGCCAAAACUAAAACCAUCUUGAAACAAGAGAAAGUAACACUAUAGCGAAGUUCUUUGUGGUCAAAUAGCUUAAUGGACUGUGUGCUAUAAGUUAAUAGCAUUCUCCAGAGCCAUUUUUUGACAAUUCCUUUGAACUGCUAAGAUCCCUCGACUGCUCUAAGUGGACGGUGGAAAAAUAACAUUUGUGGGGUAAAAAUUGGAGUGCGAUGAGAGUCCUGCAAGGAAAAUUUUUAAACCCCAUCAGUACUUCCUCGCCCUGUACGCCUACCCAUUUAUGCUUUUCUUUCUAUUGUAGAGUUGAAUUCCUAUUUAGUGGUCUCUGCUAGUAAUUAAGCACACUCCUGUGCAUAUGCACAAAUCCAGAGUUUGAAUUAGAGAUGUAAAGUACCUUCACACAAAGUAAACUUAAACCACAUUUCUUGUGUUAAUGCUCUAGUUCAUUAUGUCAAUUUUCACCAAGUAAAAUAUCAUGAAUUAAUUGUUCAAUUUGCUUAACAACAUGAAUCAUAGAAGUUCCCUAGCACUUGUAUUUUCUAUUUCCCUGUCGUUAUUAAAAUCUCCAUUGUUGUGCAUGCCAAAAAUAUUGCAUUUGGGAAAAAGAGUAAGAAAAAAAAAACCAAGUUCUACUCAUAAUUAAAAACUAUUUCUUCAACAUUAUCAGAGAAACCCCAAAGUUGGUGCUACUUUAAUCGAAAAUCAUUUACAUUUUAUUCAAUAUGCCACAAAAAGAAAAAAAAAUACAACCCAACAAACGCUAAAGAAACUUAAUAUAUAUUUAAACACCCACACAAGUGCAUAUAUAGGGAAAUACUUGUCUGAGGGUUGUGAAAUUAAGGAGAAUUUGAGUGAUGAGUUCCAAGAGCUAUAUUUUGGGUUGGGCUUCUUUCUUGAUGGUGAGAAUCUUGACUACGAUUUCCUCAAUCGAAGACUUACUCUCUCGGAACAUGUCGUAGAGUGCCAACGCUGUGCCUAUCUUGCGCUCCAGCAGUAUUUCACCAGGUUCUGCCAUUGUCACUUCCACUUCAAAGUCAUUCACGUUGUUUAUCUUUCUCUAGGUUGUGUGGACGAAGAGAAAAUGUCUAGGUCGAAAAACCGUGAGAAGAGACGGACAAGAGUGAAUGAGUGAAUAGAUAACAGUUCUGGCCGGUGCUAAUGGGCUAAGUAAAUAGUAAUCAAAUGCAGUUUGUCUAUAAUGCAAACCACUUUUAGUGUGAAAACAAUAACACAGAUGAAUAGUUAAAAGGGGAUUUUUUAUCUUUUUCCAAAUUUUUUAAGUAGGCAAAUCGGGUGGGGUUUUUGUCGAUUUUUAUAGAUCUACCAUAACCUCACCUAUAGAAGGCAAAAAGGGGUUGGGGGGACCCAAAAUAAAAUUCUAAGCAAAAAUUGUACCAGGUUGCGAUAAACCUCCAACAACUAAAAUAUAAUCGGUCGUUGAAUGUCACCUGUAACAACUACUAAAUAAAUAGUCGUUAAAUGUCGAGUUUUCCUUUAUUUUCAACAACGAGAUAAAAUUAGUUAUUGUUUUACUAUAUUAACGACCAAACAUUAUGGUCGUCGAAUAUUUACUAUAUUAUCCGUGUUUUUAACAACCAAUUUUGUUGUCGUUGAAUAUGAACAAAUAUUUUGGCGGGAAUUUUUUAUUUGGCGCCCACUCACAACAACCAAUUUUAAUUUGGUCAUUGAAGAUAUAGAUUUAACAACUAUUUUUUCGGUCGUUAUAGAAUAUUUCCAACCAAUUUAAAAUUUGAUUCUUCGUCAUCCAAUUUCUACGAUGAAACGUAUAAUUUGGUCGUUGAAAAUAAUUUAUAACGACCAGAUUGAUUUGGCUGUUAAAACAUUAGUUGUUAAAUAUCAUUUUUGUUGUAGUGAACCAAAUUUAUACUAAAAUUGAGUUUGGUAAUUAAAGCGAAACAUUUUGAAAGUUUGGACCAAGUACUCAGUUUUCAACCCUCAUUUCAAGCAAAUUAUAUUUUUACACAACUCAUUUAUCAAACAAAGAAACAAAAAACUGCAAAUAAAAAACAAUGUUUGGCUUCAUUAAUGAAAACUGUAAUAAUCUCACUGUAAAUUCUUAGAAUUAUAUUUCCCUUUUAUCGAUCCGGAGUCCAGUAAGCCACCGUUACCCAUUUUCCAUUGAUCAAUUGAUAUAAUCCAUCUUGCCUUACGCUCCAAAAGCACCCACGUUUAGCACAUUCCUUACAAUCUUUAUGAACAUCAAUAUCAAUACCUAAAUCGUAAUAAAUAUUUACGACAUACAUUUGGGCGGAAAUACGGGGAUUUCGGUUCCCUGAGUCAGCACUGAACCGGGCAACACCUCCAUGUGGCGAUAAUUUAAUCUCUGGAAUCAAAUGGCCUUGAACAUUGCAGUUGAGAGAUAGUGUAUUUUCUAAAUCGUUAAUGAUGUUUAUAUUAAUUUUUUGUGAAUAUACUGUCGGGUUGCAUGCUAUGAGAAACAGGAGAAGUGUAGGCAAUUGAAAUUUGAAGAAAUUCAUGUUUGCUUUAAAGUAUAUUAUAAUGGGACUCAUGGAUUUCCCUAAACAAGCUAUAUAUAGGAUUUGUGGUAACGUCCAAUAUAUUUUAUUAUAGUCUUAUUUAUUGAUGCUAUAAAUUGACUUGGUACAGUUAUAAUCUUAUCCAUGCUUCAUAUGACACUAUUAUUUUGGGAUUUGUGUUAUACCAUUUGUUGUAUUGUGCAAUCUUAUAUACUCAUUUAUAAAUUUUAUUUGUGAUAUUGUUUUAAUAUUACAUUAGAGGUACUCCUGGACAAGUGAUUUUUAAUAGUGGGUUUAUGAUGUGUAAUCUUUAUCUUGUUCUCGUGGCUAUGCCUAUACUGUUUAUUGGGGAACUAAAGGUACUCCGUACUCACAACUUCGAAGCUUAUAGGUCAUAAGAUUUGUGUAUUGUAAUAAUUUUAUUAAGGCAUGGAGCUUUUGGCUUUUUUUUUUUUUUGGAGUAUGGACCACAUUACCUUCCUUAACGGAUCAUGGCACUUGUGUAGAUUGAUAGAUAUGGAUUGCCCAACUUUAAAUGUUUGCAGUUUAGCCCUCAUUUACUUUCGUUUUAUUGGGAAUAGUAUUCCUUCCAUACUGCUUUCUUAUUGCCUUAACUACAUAUAUUACAUUGUUACUUUAUGGAGGUCAAGUAUAUGUCCCCUCCUUUCCUGUACUCUCGUCUUUUUAGUGAUGCAUACAUUUGAUACAUACAUGGUUAACGAAGAGAGAUAUAAAAAAUAAUAAUAAAAAAUAAUAAAUAAAAAAAAUUAUAAAAAUUGUAUCAAAUGUGUCAAUAUAGGGUAUGCAAUAUUGUAUAAUUUUAUCUAAUAAUGACAUAAACUCAAUAAAUGAUAUUACUAUAAUUCUAUUAGUUUCUUAACAUAUUUCCCCAAUGAUAAUGCAUAUUUAUGAUUUGUGAUUUUGCAAAGAAUUAUAUGUUAUCAAUUUCUAACAAUUUCUUGCCACGUUGUAAAAAAGUAAGAAAGCCUUUUAGGAAUUUCAAAUUUAUAACAAUAUAAAAAAUUAAAUUUUGAUUAAAAAUAAUUGAAUUGUGGGUAUUUUGAUGAGCAAAAUUUAGAUAUAAUAUAAAAAUAUUUGAAAAUUCAUUUUUGUUAUUGUGAACACUGCAACAAAAACAUCAUUUUGCAACAUGCAAGAGGCAACAUUCUUUAAUUGCAUUUUACUAUAAAGGGAUCUAUCGCAACAUAUGAUAAGUUUAUGUUGCCAUUUGUUAAUACAAUUAAAAUUGGACAGCAGUAUUUUAAUGCAUGCUAUUAAUGUUGCAUCUUGCAACGUUUAUUGAAAGUUUCAAAAACUUUCAUUUUUCCAAUGCCUUUUUACAACAUUAAUUGAAUGUUGAGAAAAGUUUCAUGUUUUACUACGUUUUUUACCAUUAAUAAAAACUGAUUCUAUUCCAAUGUUCAAUGCCUGUUGCCAAAACUAUUAAAAUGUUACUUUUUAUAAUGUUCAUAGACCAUUGCAGAAAUACACUCUUUAGCAAUGUCUCGUACCAUUGUUAUUAGUCCGAACCAAAUUUCAAAUAAAAUCCAACACAAAGGGUAUUAGCAAAAAAAUCCCUAUCAUUUGAACUCAUUGUAGAAAUAGUCUCUAUUGUUUCAAACUUGACAUUUACACCCUCAUUUCAAACCUUUAUUUCUGAAUUGGUCCUUUUCGUCAACCUUCAUUAAAUCCUCACGCGAAAUAUGGGUAAUGGCAUAAAACAUCCAUUUGGAUUGCCUUCAUUGCGUAAAUCAUCCUUAUCUUUUCAAUCUUGACAUCUAAGUGCUCUGAUCGACAUUUCUUUGAGUAAAAGGUUCUUGCCAUCUAUUUUUUUCCAUUAAAACAUUAUAAAAUUACUAAUUUACCCUACUCUUUAAAGAAACAAAUAGAAAAGAAAAAAAUAAUAUAAAAAAAUUAAAUUUAGAGUUUCAAGUUUAUAAAAAUCUAUAUACUAGUCUCAAAUAAAAUAAUUUAAAAUAUUCUAACGAAAGAAAAAUAUUUUAUCUUCCAAAUUAACCCACCCUUCUCUAUCCCUACCCCUACCUGCCAUCACCUCCUCCUCCUCCACCACCACCAAAAUAAUUAAAAAGAGAAUUAAAAUUUUUUAAAAAGUAAGAAAAUAAAAAAGAUGGUGCUUCUUCCUCAUCAUUUGUAUUGUUGACCUCCAAAAAUGGCCAACAAGCAUAGUUAGAAAAUAGUGUACACGUGGAUAUAUUUCACGGUAUGUGAAAUGUUGAUAGUAUACUUGUAGAAGGAGAUGAACAGUAAGCAAUGGAAGUCAACUGCGCACGUCACAUCAGUAGUCAACUCUAAAGACGUGGUUGCCUGACCCUCUUCUGGUUGUAAAGGACUUUGGAUACUCAGGCAACUCGACAUCAAAAGGUAAACCACCUCAGAAAGAAGGAUAGGGCUAUUUCGGUUGUUCUCAGUAUAACAACUUCGGCUCUUGGUGUGACAGCUUCAGAUGUUGAUAGCUUUUGCAUACUUGCCACGUGUCCAAAUAUGAGGAUCCCCACGUGGGUCAUUUCAUAUGAUUAGUAACAAUAGUCCCCUGAGUCUAUGUACAGUCAUUCAUGGGGUACAUAGAAUUUACAAUCUCUUUAUCAGCUUCGGACAAGGAAAGAAAUUCAUAAUGCCAAUCCCCCUAGUUCAAUUGUUUACUUAUUCUCAAGAAUCUGCCAAAUAUCUACGCCAAUGACCAUCAGGUCAGGGGCCGAGGCAUAUGUGCCUUGUACAUAUAAGUGGCCUUUGAUCUACGUAUAUGGAGAGCCAAAGUUAUAAAUGCCCAAGUUGCUCAAAUUUGAAAUCCGAGGUGGUUUGUACUAUUGCUGAAGUGGUUAGAGUGUCAACCAAAGUUACGUGCUACGUCAGAUGGUUUGGGUAGUUUGAACAUCUUUCAUCAUUUAUUACCACAGAUUGCUAUACUGUCGUUUGGCCUUCCCAAGGAGGGGCAAUGCUCUCAAUUUUCAACGUAUCCCACAUGUAUUGAUCUAGACCUUGAAGCUAAAAUAUUAGUUUCAUCGAAUGGUCUAUAAGUGACCCAAAUUUGGACGAUCCAGAUCUUUGAGAUCGGACGGUUAAAAAUGCAUGUAUUUCCCUAUAAAAGGCUCAUUCUCGAACAUUGAUUUGCUGGUCUAACUUGCUUUGUCUGGUUUCUUCGCAAUAUGACCAAAAAUCAUACUUGUAGUUGGUGGAUUUUGAGGAGAGUUUAUGUGAGGAUUUGCUUGAUUUUCGAUAAUGCUAUGGAGAGUACAAAUUGGGUGGUCCUUGGGUACGGUGUAUAGGACGCUUGGAUCCGUAAAAAUGGAAAUACAGUCUCAGCAUAAUCUUCUUUAAAUGCACUGGGAACAGUGCUAAAGUGUGGAGGGUCGCCCAUUGCCUUAAAUACAUUAUGUUGCAAUAGGGUGCGAAUACCAUCCGAAGUGCCUUAGGUCGCACUAUGUGGAUCCACAAGGGUUGGUACCAACGCGCCUCCCUUAGGCAGCUAGGCUAUCUCCUCGCUAGUAUUUACUAGUCAGAGUGCAUUGUAGCCAUGGCUUUGAGUUUCAACAUGGUCCAGUAGACCUCACGAUUGUAAAGGUUGCAGUAUAUAUCAAACGUCCUUGAAAGGGGGUUCAGGGAUUUAUGUGUCUGGUUUAAUGAUUAUACUUUAUCAUUGUUGAUCAUUUUUCAUUGUUUUUGCAAGCACUUUGUAGUGCUUUGUAAGUAGCUGGUUGCCCUUGAUUGUAAUGUGUUUGUAGUAAUGAAUAAAAUAUUUAUCUUAUUAUGCUAAUAUGUUUUCAAACUAGACUUAAAAUCGUUAUUGCUUCGUUGUUGGUGUAUUUUGAGAGGGUUGCACCCUUCUAGCAGUCCUCCUUUGUUUCUUAUCCUUUUAUAGGUGACUUUUGUGCCUUUUCACGGAGGUCGGCCAUAUAGCGUCGAACCCUUCGCUUUAUUCUGCCCUUAGUGCUGGCUUUUAUUUAUGAGAUGAACCUCUUUGAGUUCCAACCUCCUUUAUCAAGGUGUCAUCUCUUGGGUUGAACCUCAUUGACGUUUGCUAUUGGGCUCACAUUUAGAAGUGCCUCUAUGGGCUAAUGCCCUUUCGUGGCUACUUUAUUCUAUUCCUUCAAAGAAAUUGACUCGAAAAAUGCCAUGCAUUUUACUAAGGGCUUUGGCAGCUUCUUCUUAAUAGCAUGGAGUAGGCCAUGUCAUGUUACUUGCCCAGAAAUAGUAUAAAAUGACACGUAUACUGGCACUGGUAAGAACGGUGUAAAGGGUCGUGAAAUAUGCUACCUUACGUUACAUGCAAGUUAUCAGCAAUUCAAAUGUUGAUAUUAAAACAACGAGGAACUAAAAGAGAGACAACUUAACAACUUAAUAAACAUUUGCAUCACUAUCUAUAGUAGAUGUUGCCUAAAGUUUUUGUUGAAAGAGUGAGAUUGUGUGCCGAAGCUAUCUACUUUAAAUACAUUAUAAAGGAAGUUGAGGCCUUCAUUUUUCGAAGCCUUUUGGCUUGUGUGCGUAUCUUUUGAUUUUGAGAUGUUCUGUUGAAGGCUCUUGCAUAGUCCUCCUUUCCAGGGUGUCCGUGUAUUUUGGGGUUGGUUCCAUGUGGGGUCUUCCCUUGUCAUUUUUUGUAUUUGGCGCCUUGGCCGAUGUGGUUUCAUCUUUACCUCUUCUUUGAAUAGACUACUUUUACAUGGCUCGAUUUGAGGCUAUACAUAGGGUAGGGCGAUACCCUCUCUGACCCAUUCUGAUUCUCGUAUUUGGAUGGGACUGAAGUUUUUAGCCUCAAAAUAGGAAGGUCGGCCUUUACCUUUUGAGCCCAAGCUCCCUCGAAUUAUAUAAUUCUAUGAGGCUUAUGCCUAGCUGUUUUGACUGAGGAGGACAGCAAAUCGUUCUUUUUUAGCCACUACUGUUGAGGGGUAAUCUCCUACUAGCUGAUGUUAUUGGUCUUGUCUCGGCAAUUAUAUGCCUUAGCACCUCUUUCCACAAGAGGAGCUAAUCCAAGGUGACCAAAAUCGACGCUCAUUUUUUCAGACGAGGCCUUCGUCUUUCUCGUGAGGGUAAUUCUCAAGACUUCCAUCUCCUGUCUAUAUCCUUUGUUUGGGAUGGAGAAGAUAGCGAAACACUUUUCUGCAGGGUUUAUGUCCUUAGUUCACCGACUUGCUGCGAAGGUCGAAUCAUGUCGACCAGGGUUGUGAAGUCCGACGUGGAAGUUAUAAGUCUUAGCACCUCUUUCUGCGAGAGGACUUCGCUUGUGGCUACCAAUUGCUUUGUUUUUCAUGGGGACGUUUCCUUGGGCUUAUGCCUUUUCUUCUCGCGUGAUCAAUCUUGGUUUGUCCACAUUCGAGCUAGUGUAGCUCGUCUUUCACGUUUAUCCCUAGGCAAGGGAUGCAUGUAUCUAUAGGUAAACUCAUUUGUGGUUCUCAGUUAAGGUUGUCCAUCCUGAUAUUUCUCUAACAAAGAGUUGAAUAGAUAUGGUUGGUUCAAGGAGAUAGAAAGGUACCUGGCUAGAGCGGGUGAAAUGGAGGGGUCGAUCCUGUCUGUUUCUUAUAGGACCAAACAUGUCGAAGACACUGGCCUAUCUUAUUGACACGUUAGCUCUAUUGCAUUCCAAAGGAACGCAAUCUCCUCGGUUGUUUGGUCCGUGAUACUUACCUCUAUUUCUAGUGGAACGAUCUCCUUGUCUUGUGAGAUGUUAGCCAGUAGACCUUGCAUGCACUCCAGUAGUUUUUGUAUUGCAGCGUUUUGUCGAGAGAUGGUCCUCACCUUAACGAUGACAGCUGCCAACUCUCUGGUGAGCCUUACUGCUAGCCUGGGCCUACGCCUCGAGCCACUUCUUUGAUGCAGACCGUGAGGGGGAUUGGCAGCGGCUCCUGAAUUAUUGGGGCACUCUGCAAGGAUGUCUCCUGGCCAACGCGUUCUUUAGCCUGUCCUGGUGCGAUUUCUUUCUUUGUCGGAAUCAUGGCUGUCCCUUCUUGAUGGAUAGCCUUUCUUUGGCUCCAUUCUUGGAGUUAUUUUCCUUUAUUCAAGGAUUUUUUUCUUGAUCUUUUUGAAAACUCAGAUUUCAUUACCUUUUCUAUGGGAUUCUCAUGGUUUAGCUAUUCCAAGGUUUCCCACAGACGGCGCCAAUCUGUUGACCUCCGAAAAUGGCCACCAGGUGCCGUUAGAAGAUAGUGUACACGUGGAUAUAAUUCACGGUAUGUAAACUAUUGAUAUUAUAUUUGUAGAAAGAGAUGAACAGUAAGCAAUGGAAGUAUAUUGUAUUCUCUUGUCUAUAUUCCUAAGAUCCCUUUAACUGAUACAAGAAUUACUUAUUUAUAGUGACUAGGCCGACGUGGUUAUCGUUGGAUUGGAUCCAUGUGGCCUGAUUUGUCGACCAUAUGUGUCACAUCAAGUCUAAUCCACAUUAUUUACAUUGAUAGGCUUUUGACAAGAGAUCAGCCACUCUUGACUCUACAAACUUAGGCUGACGUCCUUGGCACUUAUUAACUGUGCAUGUCACAUCAGCUCACAUCAGUAGUCAAUUCUGAAGACAUGCUUGCCUGAUCCUCUUCUGGUUGUAAAUAACUUCGGAUACUUAGAGAGCUCGACAGUAGAAGGUAAACCCCCUCAGGUAGAAUGAUAGGGCUAUUUCGGCUGUUCUCAAUUAAACAACUACGGCACUCAAUGUGACAGCUUAGAAUGUUGAUCCCUUUUACAUGCUUGCCACGUGUCCAAAUAAACAUAUUGUUCAAAUGCAUGGUUGAACAUGUUCAUGUAAUUGAUGUCAUCUUCAUUUAUUUGAAAACCAUGAUUCUAGAUAUGUUUCAGAUUUGGUUCAACCGAUCAAAUGGACGUACCAACAUUUUCACCACCUAAAUCAUUCAACAUUUCAAUCAUAUCAUCCUCAUCCUCAGAGUCAUUUUCAACAACUUCAGUACGGCUACUCUCUAAUCUUAAAGUGUGAGUCUCACAUAAUGACUUACCAUGGAAACUCCAGUCUUGAUAAGAUAUAUGAAAUCCAUAUCUGAACAGGUGGUGCUUGACCACAUUGAGGUCCAAAAAUGUUGUAUUACCACAAUUUUGACAAGGACAUUGAAUAGUGGAUGUACCAUUAGAAAUAUUAUCACGUGCAAAAGCUAGAAAGUUCCUCAACCCCUCUUGAUAUCUCUAAUCCAAUCUAUUUUUCAAGAAAUCCAACUAUAAUCCGUGUUGAAUAAUCUGUGUGGUUGACAACAUCUGAACACACAAACAAAUUUAAAACUGUCAUAAAAACAAACUAACUUUAUGGAAAAAAUAAAAAAUAACGAUUGAUUUAAAUGAAGAUUUUAAGUUGAAUGUGUAGAUGGGAAGAGUGGAUGCGGUACACACACUUAACAUCAUAAAUUCAUAUAGCGUACAACUAAUUACUGAUUUGAGAAAACCAUAUUUAAUAAUCAUAAAAUUCUCCAAAUUAGUUUGGAGAGCUUACCUUAACAAGAGACUGAGAAAGAUCCUGAAUUAAUCAUCAAAGUUUCGUCCUGAAGCAAAAACUUGCAAAAUCCUUAUUACACGGAAAAAAAAGGUUCAAUAUCUGUGAAUUAUGCAAUACAAAAUGAAUAAGGAAAGUGAAAAAUAAAAAAUAAAAAUAAAAAUCUAUACACUGGAGGUAUAGGCAGCAACUACAGCUGUAAAGCGAAAGUUCUAAUUAGCCAAUUUAUUUAUUUAGACCCAAUGUAUGAAAAUAAGUAAUUAAGAAGCAACAAGUCACUUUUAAUUGUUUCUAUGUGAUUAAUCAAUCAAGUUCAAUUACCCUAUGGUUCGAAUGCUAUAAUCAAUAAUUAAACCAAUACAAAAUACCAAAGAUGAUCACAGAGAAACUCUAAGUGGAUGAAAACUCCAGACACUUUGCCAGUUAAUAAUUCACUAUAAAUCCCAAACUUACAGACGGACUAGACCCAUCUAUCCCAUAGAACUUGACCUCAAUUCCGAUAGUCUCCCUUGAUUUUCUAGAGGUGUACUCCUUCAAAAUAAAUUCUGACUCCACCGUUGCCCUCCUGGACUGUGUGUUCCUAAUUCCACAUCCUAACUUCUGGUACCUCAUCUUAGUCCUAUUGAAUUUGUGCUUUUGCAAUAGUUCCCGAUCUCUGGUAUUGAUAUAACUUCGAUGGAUUAUGUGGUUUGGUGUUUGAUCAAAUGACCUUCUGUGUAUGAAACAAUAUGGCUUGAUCAACAAAAUAUGUUUUGGAGGAAUUUAUGAAUCAAGUAAUAUAUGAAAGAUGAAUCUUGGAAUCAAUGAAUGUUUUGGAUCAUCAAAAAAUUGAUCUCUAUGGAAUAAAUACGAUUCAACAAACUUUUUGACAUCUCAUAGUGUGUAUAUUUAUAAUGUGUAAUUUUGGAAUGAAAAGAAACCGAAAAUCGGUUUCAAAAUUGAGUAUUAAUGUUUUUCGGAUAACCACGUCGCUCUAGCACAAGCGAACAAUAGCUGAACAAUUGUCAUUAUUUUCAUCAAUAUUGGAUUGAGGUGAUUCAAGAUGUGUUAGAUAGCUGACACGAAGACUGCAAUUCUUCUAGACACGGCAUUCUUUGAAUUCGAAUGAUUUCUAUAUGAAAAAUGCAUUGAAAGUUGCGACUAAAAAUUUAGAACAUAACUUGUGUAGUUCUUUGAUGCCCUUUAGACUUCUAAUUGCAUUUCCUUGAUCAUAUGGGAUAUUCUUGGACAUCGUUGAUGUCUUGACGUCCUUUAGGAACUAUACUAUGAAUCGUUAACUAUUUUGACUUUGAUUAUAACCCCUAAUACAAUUUAGCUAUGACUUGAUUUUGUCUUAGGAAAUUGCCAAUUACAAUUUGGACUUAAUAAUCUCUCCCUUUGGUAUUCCUUGACAAAAUCAUUUAUUUCAGAGACAAAAGUCCACUACAAUCUCCCUAAUAGAUACUUUCCAAACUACAUUUCAACAACUUGUCAACUUGUUUUUCUUAAACACAUGGAAACCACGAUACCACGCGAAAAGCAAGAGAAAACUAUCAAAAUAAAAAUCAUAUAACUAAGUUAAAUAAAAUAUAUAAUAAAACAUGUGUAACACCAAAACAAAUAUAUCAAAUGAAAUUCCAGGAAAAAAUAAAUCAAAUGACUCCUUCUAAGUCAUCUAUUAAUAAAAAAAAUUCAAAUUUUUAAAAUUCUCCCCCUAACUCAUAUAAUCAACUCUAUGAAAUAAAUAAACAUCUCCCCCCUUUUUUGUCAUGAAUAAUAGAGGAAAGACAAGUAAUAAUCAUGUAAAACAUAGAGAGGAGUGAGCAAAAAAUAUGCACAUGUAUAAUGAUGCAAAAUUUAUGCAAAAACAUGUGAUAGGAGAAUGAAAAUUUUCCAAUUUUGAGAACAAGUUUUUUUUUUUUAAAAAUAAAAAUCGUGAAUUUUCAUCUUCAAUAAUUAUUUACUUACUUAUACCUGCAUAAUUCAUAAAAGGUAAACUUUUUUCACAUAAUUUGUUUUAAACCUAAAUGGAGUAAAUUAUAUAAACUACGCUUGGAAAAAGUCUCACUAGACUCCUAGGAGUAAGCAAAUCUCAAAUCAAUGAGCAAGGACAUGCAAAAAAUCAUAGGUAAAUUAAAUAUUUUCCUCAAAGAAUGAAAUCAAACCUAGUGCAAGUAGGACCUUUUAAAUAAAAUACUCAUAAUGAUUUUUCAAUGUAUAACUUUUCUGUCUACCCCUAUCAAUAAGCACAUAUAAUUUUUUUCUUCUCAUUUUUCUUAUAUAUCUUAUGUACAAUCACUUCUCCAUUAAGUGACUAAGAUGACCCCCGUAAUGAGUUUUAGGCCAAUAACUCUAAGUCAAUUGACCAUAGGGCAUUAAGUCAUGAGAAACCGCUCAUGCUUAAUUUCUCUAGUCAAAUAGGCUCCGAAGAAGAGUACAAGAUAAAUCUCAGUUUUUCAUAUAUUUCAAAAUUUUUGAAUCUCAGCCAUCUAUUUCUUUUAAGGAAAAUAUACUAGAGCUCUAUGUCAAUCUAGUUAAAGGUCAUUCCAUGUUCAAAGUCAGUUCACCACAGAAAUGAUCACGAUCCCAAAUCUCAAACAUGUGAUCAAAACCUGCAUACAAGAGUCUAAUGUGUGCAAAGCAAAAGACACAUGUAACAUAUACCAAGUACUCCAAACAAAUUCUAGACAAAUUAAUGGAAAUUUAGUUUAGUAAUCAUGAAACUUACUAGUACUUGAUAACAAAAUAACAUGUCCAAUAAAAAAAAUCUCUCUUUUUUAUUUUUAUUUUUAUAAUAAAACAAACAUGCAAAAAGAAAACUCCUAAUAAACAAUAAGUAAAUGUGCAUGCAUUAAUAUAUAGAUAUCAUGAAAAAUGAAAAUGCAUGCAUAUGAGUGUCUAAUCAAGAAGGCACACAAGGGCACUUACCAUGAAGAGCAACAUGAGAAAAUAUAAUUAUCAACAUCACUUAGAUUUGUGAGUUCACUCUUCUUGACUAAAUUUUCUUAGAAGAUGUAAUCUGAGUCAAUCGAGUUAUCAAUUUAGUCAAGUGACUCACCUGAUCAAUCAAGAAACUAACGUGAGUAGUUAGAUUUUGAUCGUUGUACCCAACCAAGGACUUAGGACAAUUAGAUCUAAUGUGACCUAAAACACCACAAUUAUAACACGUGGGAGCAAAUUUAGGAAGAAUCUUAGGUUUCAUAAUUUGAACCUUAGGUGGAGAAAAUCUAUAGGGUACAUAUCUGAUUUCGAUCUUCAGACACCAACAUUCUUGGUCUUGCUCCAAUUCAAGAGCUCAUGGCACUUAGGUCUUAUGUAUCUUACCAUGUCACAAUGGUGACACGUGAGGAUGAACCUAGAAGCAACUUUAGUUUCAAGUUUUGAACCUUAAUCUUUGAGGCAAGUACAAAAUUAUUGUUAAUAGCAUGAGAAUUUGUUUCAUUAUCAUCUAAAUCUCCUCUAUUCUCAUCUAUUUUUUCCAGACAUAUCGUGUUAUCAAUUUUCUUAGAUCUACUAGAGAAUGAUUGAGGUUGGGCAUUUGAUUUUUCAAGCUCAUUUAUAAGAGUUUCAACACUAAUUUCUAAGGACUCUUUCUGAACCCUUAAUUCAUUCAAUUCUUUGGAAGACUCCUCAAGUUUAAUUACAACCCCCUCAUUUUAUAAUUCAAGUUUAUUCAGUUUCUUAAAAAAUUGAUCUAUUAACCUUAUGUAACCUGAGACUCUCCUUAUACAACUAGUCAUAAGCCUCAUGAAUAUUCAUAUCAUCCUAAGAUCCUACAGCAGAAUGUGAUUGACUCAUCUAGACAAUUUUUUUAGCCAAGUAUCAUAAUUAAGCUCCAAUGCCACUUGAAGUUACUAAUUAGUCAAUUUAUAUAGAUCCAAGGUGCGGAAAUAAGCAAUUAACAAGAAAUAAGUCACUUUUAAUUGUUUCUAGGCAAUUAUUCAAUCAAGUUCAAUUACCAUAUGGUUUGAUUACCACAACCAAUAAUUAAAGUAGUAAAGAACACCAAAGAUGAUCAUGGAUAAACCCCAACGGGAUACAAACUCCGAACACUUUGUCAAUCAAUAAUAUAUUGCAAAUCGAAGCAAUCUUACUGUGCAAACCAGACCCACCUAUCUCAUAGAACUUCUGACAUCAACUCCUACAGUCUUCCUUGAUCUCAAUGGAAGUGUGCUUUUUUCAAAACAAAUUCCAACUCCAUAUUUAUACCUUAGCCGUCCUGGAUUGUGUGUUCCUAACCCAAAUGUCAACUUCUGGUACCUCGCCUUAGUCUUAUUCAAUUUGUGCUUCUGUAACAAUUCCUGAUCCAUGGUAUUGAUCUAUCUCUAGUGGAUAGGUGGCUUGGGGUUUGAUCAAAUUAUCUUCAGUGUUUUGAUCUUGUGGUUUAAUAUGAAACAAUAUGGCUUGAUCAAUAAAUUAUGUUUUGGAAAAAUGUAUGAAUCAAGUAAUAUGUGGUGGUUGAAUCUUGGAAUCAACGAAUGUUUUAGAUCAUCAAAGAAUUGAUCUCUAUAGAAUAAAUCUGAUUCAACAUACUUUUAGACGUCUUAGAGGGUAUAUAUUUAUUAUGGAUAGUGUUUGGGAUGAAAAAUAACUCAAAAUCACCUAACUUAUUAUUAAUUUUUUUUUUCAAUAGGAUUAUUUUGUCUAUAACUAUUUAAAAAAAAGAAGAAGAAGAAGAAGAAGAAGAAGAUAGAAUUCGUUACCUGGCUGACCUGACAAAACGAACUGUUCUAGUAUUUCUGUACAUGGAAUUCUCACCACAAAUACUAGCUAUAUUUAGAAUAUAAUCAUUUUACUCUAUGUGGUUUUAUUUUUUUGUCAAUUUGAUAGUUGAGGGACUAAAAUGAAAUAGGCUUUAAAUUCUUACUUUAUUUAGGCCAAAUAAUUAAGUACCAAUAUAACAAGUAUUGGACUCUUUUUGUAGCUUAUAAUUAAUUAGAACUCUUCAACUCGAGAAAAAAUUAAUUCAAAUAAGUUACACUCAAGAUAUUAGUUUAAAGAAAUUGUGAUUUAUAAGUUUUUAAAUAAAUUGAAAUGCUCCAUUCACUGUCAUUAAUUGGGUCUAGAAUAAUAAUUUCCAUUGGAGAACCCCAAGUCUCCUUGUUGCAAUGAAAUUCAAUUAAAAUACUAGGUUGUAAGUCCUAUAAAUACUCCCAUAAGUCAAGAGAAUUUUCACUAGAAGGAUAUUAUACUACACGGCCAGGAGAAAUCCAAAUGCUACAAAGAAAGAAUCCAACAAUAUCACCAUAUAAUAUAUUUUAUUCAUACACAAGGCAGAUAGAGCAAAAGAAAACGGUUUUCAUGUGCAUUAUUUUAUGGUCCAUUAUAACUUUUCAAAUCCAUCAAGGUAAGAUACUUUUGUACAAGUUGUUUGCUUCUGUAUAAUUUUAUGUAUUCAAUUAAACAUGCAUGAAUUUCCAUUGAACCUUUGGGUUUGAUCUAACGAAAUAUGAAUUCUUUUAGUUUCUUAUAAUGAAAUGAUCCUUCGAAAAUUCAAAGUACUACUGAUGGGUGUGUCACUUGGUUAUCAAUAUACUCCAUAAAAAUGUAAUAUGAAGUGUUUAUUUUAUUUUUAUAUAAUCGUUUAUGGAAAUUGCAUAUAUCUUGCUGUAUAUUUUUAAAUACUUACUCUUGUAAUAAUCUUAUACGUUAGUUCGGGUUGAUUAUUCGUGACAGGAAGGUGAAGUGGACUGCCAGUAGAUUGAAGGAAAAUAAACAUUAAGUUUUUUGUCAUUCUAUUUUUUAACUAGUUUAAUUCAUUCGAAGGCAUGUUAUUUAAUUAAUUAGAUGAUCUUUUUUUCUCAUUAUUAAUUUUUUUUUUUUUGAAGAUACAAUUUUCAUAAUUUAAUUUAAAUUUAUGAAUGUUCUAGUUAUUUUCUUAAAAGAAAUUUAUUUUUAUCGUUCUGCAUUUAAUACCAAGAAAAUUGAGUUUUUGUAACACUUCCAGAUUUAUGAAAAUUUUGGGUGUUAUAUCAACACCUUUAACAACUAUCAUUCCAUCAACAGAAUUAGCAGAAUUGUACCUGUGUGAAAUUUUAUGGCAAAAAAUGGGUCUAUUUCUAGUAAAUGAAUAUGAUGACACCGUUGAUAAUGGUGGCAUGACGGAUUUAUCCAUGUCUUCAAAAUUCAACUGAAAUGUAUUCUUAUAAGAAAAAUCCGAGUUAGACUCCAAAUAUGGGCUCAUUGGAUAACCUUCAGGUUCUCCACCUUUAACAGUGUAUCAGUACCCCUUUUGGAUCAAGAGUACUUAAAGAGAUAAAAUAUCUCUUUAGAUCUGGAACGUGUCUCUCUGCAUCAAGUAUUAUAGCCGUCCCAUCAAACAUCUUUAUUCCAACCCGACAGGUAUAUUAGUUUUGGUCUCACAACACCUUUUGUAACUUCUUCAUAUGUUGAAAACAAUUUCUAAUUGGAUGACAUAUGAAUGGUGCAAUUUGUACCAUAGAUUCAAGCCUCGUUGGAUUGGGAGUUGUAGUUAGAAAAAAGUAAAAGUUCUUCAUCACUACUGGGAUUCUUUGCAAUACUUGCUUCUCCUAAAGUUUCUAACUGUAGAUUUUCAAUUGACAUUGAUUUAUUUUGCAAUUUAUAACAAUCGUUUAACAAUUGCCCAUUUUUCUUGCAAUAAUUAAAAAAAAUUAUUUAGAUUUUUAUUUGCCCCUCGAAGGACCACCAUAAACACUAAGACCAUCUUCGUGAUCCCCAAAUGCUACAUCUUCUCUUUUGAAUAUAAAGCAUCAUAGACUUCUGCGAUGACAAGAAUAUCAUGACUAGUAUCUGUCUCUAAAAGAAAUGUAUGAGAUGGGCAAUGAACACAACAAAAUCAUUCCCAAGUCUUCUUCAUCAUAUUUGAUCUCCAAUGCCUCCAAAAUAGUGAUGAUUUCUUUAAAAGUAGCUAGGUGAUCCUCAAGAGAUAUAUCUUAUAUCGUAGGAUGAGAAUGUAGAAGUUACUUUAGAUGCAAUUUGCUAGUUUGACUUUUCGUCAUGCAUAACUGUUCCAAUCUUAAGCAUGAUGCAUCAACUGAAUUUUCCUUCAAAACGUCAUGAAGAAUAUUAUUUCAAAGAUGAAGAUGCACUUGAGAUAGGUCCUUUAGAUCCCUUUGUUGUUUUCUCCUCUGCUAUGAUUUAUGUUGUAUUAGCAAUUUUGCAGACAAAAUUAAGUCCUAGUUAAAUUGAGUUAAGAGUUUUAUCGAAUUGUUAUCAAAGUCAUAGGAAUUAUUAUCCUAAUUACAGUCAAAAGAGUUGGGAUUGGUGUAUAGUCGUUGAAAGUGUCCAAGACGUCCAAGAAGAUCAUAUGUAAUCAAUGGAAUGCAAUUAGAAGUCUAAAGAAUGUUAAAUAGCUGCAGAAGUUAUAUUUUAAAUUCUCAGUCGUAACUUUCGACGCAUUUUUCACAUAGAAAAUAUUGUAAUUUGGACAAGACUAUUUCUAAAAAGAUCGUAGCCCUUUAAGUUAGCAACUACUCACUUGUCCCUGGCCUAGAGCUUGAACGACAGUGUUACAUAGGAAAUCUUAGUUCACGUUUUUCAAGAGUUUUAUUUGGCCAGUACUACCUAAUUAUCUCCUACUAUAAAUACCCAAGCCCUAACACAUUUUGUAGGUGGUUGUUCAUUAUAUUACUUCUUCAUAACAUCAUUCCAAGAUCCAAGAGCAUAUUCAAGCAAUGAGAUUAAUUCUUUGAUUCUUGAGAUCAAUCAUCAAAUUCUCAUAAUCCAAAAUACCAAAUUCCUAUACACAUACCUGAAGAUAUUUUCUCAAUAGCUUUUAGAGGUUUCUAAAAAUUGAGGGAGGUUGGACUAGAAGCACACAAAGAAUACAAGAAGGUGUUCUAUGUGAUCCACAAGAGAUAGACAAUUCUACAAGACCGAGAAUAAUUGUGAGUGGAGCAUAUUUUAGUGGGUCUUGGGGACUAGAGGAACUCGAUCGACGAGUUUAGUGAAUUUUCUAGGUUGGAUCAUACUGCAAGUUCAUAUUGUUUGUAAUGGAGGUUACUGGCUUGGUCCAAGAGUUUUUACCCAAUAAAGUUUCCUCCGUUAAUUAUUUUGUGUUGUUUAUUGCUUUCAUAUUAUUGAUUAUGGCAUUCAAACCAUAGGAUAAUCUGACGUGGUUGAUUAACCAUCUAGAAACAAUUAAAAAGUGACUCGUUGCUUUUAAUUAUAUAAUUAUGCACGUUGGGUCAAAAUAAAUUCACUAAAUCUAAACUUUCAAGUGGUGUAAGAACUUUUCAAGUGGUAUCAGAGCCCAAAUUCGAUUCCUAAUACUAGUUUUUCUAGAUGAGUAGUUCAUUAUCUGUCUCGUCAUAUUUUGGCUAAGCUAGUGAAUAACUGGAUGGCCCCUUCUGGCACCGUUAAUGGUGUCAUCACCCCACUCCCAUUCUUAAUUGGUUAAAAUCUAAUUUAGAUGCGUUACAUGCUUUAUUUAUGGCAGUGUCCCCCGAAAAAUUUAAGCGAGUAUCCAUGUGUAAGGUUGGGGUAUUUUAUAGACCAUACAUGAGGAAACUUAGGUAGUUAAGAACUCCAAGUUACAUAUGUUGACCACUAGAUUUGAACACAUUAGGAUGAAAGAGAAAGAGAAUUUGAUGACUUUUAUGCGAGCUUAAGUGACAUAGUUAAUUAUAAUUUCAACCUAUAUGAGAGAAUUUGUGAGCCCAAGAUUGUCAAAGAAAUCCUUAGAUCAUUACCCGAAAGAUUUAGGCCUAAAAUCACAGAUAUAGGGAAGAGAAAGGACAUGGAUGCUAUUAAAGUUGAAGAGUAGGUUGGAUCUCUCUAGACUUAUGAAGUAACAAAUAUUUGGCCUUUAAGACUAUUAGGUAUAACUGUAAUGAGUCUUCUGAUUUGGAGUCACCUAAUGAUGAGGAGAAGCUUAUUUUGCUAAGAAAUUUUGGGAAAUAUUUAGAAUAAGCAAACGCCUCAAGAGAGACAUAUAAGUGCUUCUAGUAAGUCUAGAAAGAGAUCUCAAAUUGUGAGAUGUUAUAAGUGUCAAGGUUUUAGCUAUUAUAGGAGUGAGUGUCCUAACAGUAAGUUUAAUAAGGAUGAAGCUAUGAAUGUUACUCUUACUGAUAAUGAGUCUAACUCGUAUAAUCAAAAUAAAAGGUCCACUCAGGAUGUGAAAAGGAAAUAUAUGGCCUUCACUACUAGGAAUAAGAGUGGAUUUGAUCAGGAGAGUGAGAAGUUUGACGAUGUAGAUAGUAGUGGGCAAUUUGAGAAGGAUUCCAAAGAUGAGGAAGAUAUACAUGAGGCUUAUGAUAAAUAAUAUAACGAGAGCCUUAAGAUAUUGACUGCCAAUAAAUCCUUAUAUGAAGGUCAAAGAUCUUGAGUUAGAGAAAGAAAAACUAAUAGCUGACCCUUAGCAAUCUAUCUUAUACUUUAGUAAGUUGAACUCUAUGAAUAAAUCUUUAGAUACUCAGGUUAAGAAUCUUAAGAGUAGACUUGAUGAGUCCUCUGGGAGACUUAGUGAGUUGAGCGUCAUGAAUGACUGUUUAGAAAAUAUGGUUAAGACCUUAUGAGCGAUCUUGAGGAUUCCAACACCUUGCAUUCUCUAGUGAUUUAUUGGAGCUUGAUAGCAUCUUAGGGAUGAGCAAGCCUACUGGUAAUAACAGAGGUCUAGGAUAUAAGGAGAAUAAUCACAAUGCUGCUAGUAUUUCCCAUACCAUUUUUGUCCUUGCCACUGACCACCGUAAGCAUGUUCCUAACCCUAAACCCAAGAAUAAGGGAAUCGUAGGAUAGAGGCCUAUUAGAAAGCACAAGACUUACAAAACUAGGAACAAAAAUCAACGAUCACAUAACCUUGGUCCUAGGCUUAUCCCUAUUUGUUUCAGUUGUUGUGAGUUAAGAUAUAUAAGGCAUAGGUGUCAUUAAUUUUUGAAAAAAAAAAUAGAAAUUAGAACUUCAAUCAAAAUAAAAUUCAGGAUUUUGAUAGUCAGAUUGACUUCCUCACUACUUGAGUCAAUUGACCGAGUUAAUGACAUAGUUGACCAUGGUUAUUUCUUUCACUGAGCAAGUUUAGGUGAGAAAAAUGAUAAAAAAAUCUUGAAAUAGAUCACGGUGCUCUUAAAGGUAAGAGCGUUUGCAAAUUCAUUAGGUUUGAAUUGGCAUAUGUAUUUUUUUUUUUUUUUUGUGUUGAAUAUUUUUUAUUUUAUGCGAUUGGAGCAUUCAUUAAAAAAAAGGUAAAGUUUUUUAAAUUAUAGCAUGAUAUAUGGUAUACUUGAACUUGUGGAUGAGUUUAAUAAAUGUGUUGUAGCAUACUUUCCAUUACUUAGGUUUUUAUGGAGUACUUAAUAUAUGUUUCUUUUUUGUACCAUCUGCACUGCACACACUAUAAUAUUGUGAGUGGGACUUGACCACAUAUAUGAGAUUUGAGAUGGUAGUCACAUAUUGGAAAGGUGACUUUGAGCAUGAAUUAACCUUAUUUUAGCAGACCUCGACUUAAGUAUAUUUUCUUAAAAGAAAAAGCUCAAUAUCUUAUGCUCUUGUUUGGAGCAUAUUUGACUCGAACAAUUAAGCUCAAGGGUUUUCCCAUAACUUAGUGCCUAUAGUAAACUAAUUUGGGUUAAUCGACCUAAAGCUCGUUGCUUGGAGGGUCAUCUUAUUUACCUAAUGGAGAAGAACAUGCACAUAAGAUGUGAAAAUGAUGAGAAUUUAGAAAAUGUGUAUAUGUAUAUAUACACACACCAUUAAUGGCUUGACUUGUCAAAAGUAGAGGAAUAAGCUUCUUGAUGUCCUUUCUAAUAAAAUUAAAGUUUGGAGUCCUGCCUACAAAUGAUUAGUGAUACUAUACCAACAUAGAUGACUUAUAUAAUUUACUCCAUUUUAACUUGAACUAAUUAUGUAUAAAAGUUUACAAAUAAUUAAUUAUAUUUAUACAUACUAUCAACUGCAUCUUUGAGUUAUUAUAUGCUUUUAUUUAUGCAUAUUUGAUAUACUUCCCUUAGUCAUCUAGGACAAAAUAGGGGGGAAAGAGAUUUUAUUGUAAUUUUGAGUUGAGAGUUAACUGCAUUCUGGAGAGAUUUUGUGGUGAAGGAAAGAGAUGAUACUAUCUUUCAUUCAUGGCAUUCCAUAUAAUGCAUAGCUUGUUUGAGUUUCGAUGUAUGGUGAUAUUAAUGUAUCAAUUAGUAUUUUGAUUAACAUUAGUAUACUUCUCAAUCUAGCUAGCAUAUUUUUGAUAGUAGAUUUUAAUUGUUAUAUUUUCUGUAUCAUGUGCUUUUACACUUGAUAUGUGAAUUGUUGGUUUCAGGAAACGGGUUAGCAAGGAAUGCAAGAAAAGAACAUUCAGUUUGGAUUUGGGUUGAUUAAUUUUUAUUUUUAUUUUCUUGAUUUGUAUUGUACAGUUUUGUUACAAAAUGCCAAAGGAGUAGAUUGUUAAGAUUUAUGUUGUAUUUGGAAUUUUGUAGAAAAAAUCAAGUCCUGGUUAAAUUGUAUUAGGAAUUUAUUGAGUCGUGAUGUCAAAAUAUGAAUUACUGAGUUCUAAUUAAAGUCAAAAGAGUUGGGAUUUGUUGUAUAGUCCUUAAAGGAGUCCAAAAUAUCCAAGAACAUCAUAUAUGAUCAAAGAAAUGCAAUUACAAGUCUAAAGAGUAUCGAAGAGCCACAUAAGUUACAUUUCAAAUUCUCAAUCGUAACUUGCAACGCAUUUUUUAUAUGGAAAAAUAUUGAAAUUUGGACAAAGAUAGAAGAAUUGUAAUUGUUUGAGUUAGCUUUCCAACGCAUUUUGAAUCACAUCAAUCAGACAUCGACAAAAAAAAGUUAUGAUAAAAAUACUGAUAAUUGAUAAGUAGUUGCUUGUCUGUUGCUGGCCUAGAACUCGAACGACCGUGAUAAGUGUGAAACCCUAGUUCACAUUUUUCAAGAGUUUUAUCUAGCCCAUACUAAAAUAUUUCCUAUUUUAAAUACUUAAGCCCUAACAUGUUUUGUAUGUGGUUGUUCAUUAUAUUACUUCCUCAUAACAUCAUUCCAAGAUCCAAGAAGACAUUUAAGCAUUGAGAUUAAUUUUUUGAUUCUUGAGAUCAUUCAACCACAACUGUUGAAAAACAUAAAACUCAAGUAAUCCAAAGUACCCACUUCCAAUACACAUACAGGAAUAUAGUUUUUCAAUAGCUUUCAAAUGUUACUGAAGAUUGAGAGAAAUUAGACCAAAAGCAUAGAUGAUUCAAAGUAGAUAGACAAUUCUAGAAGAUCAGGAAACAUGUGUGAGUAAAAAAUGUUCCAGUAGGUUUUGGAGGUUACACGAAUUGGAUCAACGAAUCUAGUAAAUUUUUUAGACUGAAUCAUACUGUAAGUUCAUAUUAUCUAUAGUGAAGGUCACUGGCUUGAUCCAAAGUUUGUACCCAGUUGGUUUUUCUCCAUCAACAUAUUUUGUAUUGUUUAUUGCUUUCAUAUUAUUGCUUGUGACGUUCAAACCAUUUAAUAAUAUGACAUGAUUGUUUAAUCAUCUAGAAACAAUUAAAAGUGACUUGUUACUUUUAAUUUUAUGAAUUCGCUUUUAACAGUGUGUUUUCUAUUCUGAUUGUGAUGAAUAUAUACAAUACAGUAUAGAUAGAUCCUUGUUAAAAACUCCAAGCUUUCACACAAUUUCAAAUAAAUGCUUAGUCUUUUUAAGAUAGCGACUUAUAGUACAAAAUUCUUAAGGUCAUGAAAUUAAUUUGUAGAAAGAGUAAAAAUACACUGACAAUAUCAAAAGAUGACACAAAACCAUUUAAAUGAGAACAGCGUCAUUUAAAAGCUUUACACCCUUGCCUAGGAUUCAAUCCAGAUUCUUAACGGUUUGACACAUUGGCAAAUUUAGUUAAUCACCUCUUUGUUUUCUCCCUUCAAAACAGAACUCUUUAAUUCUUAUACUCAUUUUCUACCAUACAUUCCUACAACAAAAUAUUUUGUAUAUAAAUUUAAAACUUUUCUUACUUUUUAAAUUCUCCAAAAACUAAAUAUUCGACACAUCAUCCCCCCCCCCCCCCCCCCCCCCCUUCCCCCUUGAUAAUGGCCAUCAAACAGGGGCAGAUGAGCCGUAUUGAAACUUGAACCUAAAUAUGGUCCAAAAUAAUUUAGUUCAUAUAAAGACGUGCAUUUAUUUAAAUGUUGUGUUCACCAACUAAAAAUGAUGAGAUUUGAUAAAUGUCUUAUAAUAAAAUUAAUACGGAUAAAAGGAUAAAAUCAUAUAUUGUUUAAAAUGGGAGUCAUCUAGUUAUAAAUUAAACGUCUUAGCCAUAUUUCAUAAUUACUGGCUUCACCAACUUUUAAUUCAAAAUAUAUGUCCGAUGCUUAACCUCGAAAUGGACAUUAAGUCCAAAAAUAUAAUUUUUGAACGCCAUUUGAAAUCAAAAGUCAGAAGCAAGUGUUUUAAUUAUAAUUAGGAAAGUAGGUGUGUGUCAUGGACGUGUUUUUCUUUUCUUGGAAAGGGCCUACUUUUGAACUGUCGUGUCAUAUUGGCACAAGCCGGUGCACAAUAAGUCGUGGGUUCCACAAUUAAACUGUUAAAUUUUGUUCCCUACUAAGCCCUUAUUUGAGUCCCAAUCUUUGGGGAUAAUAUAUUUCCAAAUAUUGAUUUUUGAAAGAAAUGUAAUUAGUCCGCUUGCACUUCAUCUACCACCCAUUAAAAUCCAUUAAAUGAUUUAUUAAUGUUAGAAGUUAUGUUCGUUAAAAAAAAUUACACCUCAACCAAACCAAUAUUUCAUUACUCACACAACUUAUACUUGGUCACGGUUUACUCAUCGAACUUCAUUCCUUUCCUUUCGUUGUUGACGUAUUGCAUGAAAAUCUUACGUAUCAAAUUACGAUCCUUAAAAAAAAUUAUAACUCAACUAAACUAGCUAUCAACUCACAAAAAUCAUCAUAUGUGAUGUGCGAUUUCUAUGACUCUAUAAACUUCUUUAAAUCCUGAUAAUACAUCCCCAUUUUUAGCUCCAAAAAACUCUAGCCCAUUCACUCUUUUCAUUCAUGUACAGCUACAUUGCAUAUUGAGAUAAAGCCGAUGUUGAGAAUGAUGCGAGAAACUAUUUCUUAUAAAGCUCUAUCCCUACAGAUGGCAAAAUAACCUGUCCCGCCCCAUAUAAAAUAAUAAUAAUAAUAAUAAAAUUGGAUUAGUCUUUCUUUAUUUAUUAGUUAUUCUCUUGUAUCCUUUUGUAUUCACAUUUUUCUAUUUCAUAAAAAAUUCAAAGGAUUGAAAUUCCAAUGAAAUUCUACUCAUUAUUUUCCUAUGUUAUAUGAGAAUUACAAGAACAAGUAUAUUACAUGAGAGAAUUUUAAGAAUGAUACUUCUUGGUUCAAAUUUGACUGAAAGCAAAUGAACUCUGCACUACACAGCUUUAAAGAUUGGUUACGGAAUCCUACUGCAGUCCCAUAAAUAGUUUUCGAUGAGAAUAUAAAUUUUUUAAAUUCUGGUAAAAAAGAAAAAUUAAUAUUUAAUAAAGCAAUCGCUAAAAAUAAUUAUUAUCUUUUUUCUGAUCUCGUUUUUCCAAAAUUGUUCAAAAAUUGGUCAGAGCCAAAUUACUCAUGCUACACUGGGAAAACUGAGUCUUAAGAUUAGAAUUCUUAAAAACAUGAUUGCAAACCUUGUUACUGUUGAUGUAGUUUAUGCCAUUCUUUUCAACACAAUAAGAAUCAUUGCAAACCUUGUUACUGUUGCUGUAGUUUAUGACACAAAAGGAUUUUAAAAUUUUGAAUUUAUAUUUUAUUUUCUAAUAAUAGCAUAACAACACAAAAGGUUUGGGAUUUGAAAAACUUGAGGAAUGGAAUAGUAAAAAAAUGUUUUUAAUUUCCCCAAUUAAGGAACAAAUGAUAUUUUAUUUAAUUAAGGCUGAAUUCAUAUUUUCACUGGAAUCGAGUAUUAGGUGCAAUUUCAGUUUUGUUUAGCGAUUAUGUUUUUGUCAAAAUUUUCAAUUAAAGCUAAAUUUAUAUUUUCUUUGGAGUUGAAGAAUAGGUGCAAUUUCAAAUUUGUUUAGUGAUUAUGUUUUAUCCAAUUUUACAGUUAAGGCAGAAUUUAUAUUUUCUUUGGAGACUAGGAAUAGGUGCAAUUUUAAUUUUGUUUAGUGAUUUAUGUUUUGUCCAAUUUUUCAAUCCAACUGGUCUUCAUUAGAAUUGACGAUUUUUCCAUUACCAUAGGUUUAACAAUCCGACAUCUAUGCUCAACCUGUUAAUUUACGUACUAUACACUAUGGGAGAGAAUUAUCUUAGUAUUUUACCUCUCACGAAUUUGUGUGGUGUCCCUAGGAUUCCAACCCAAGACCUCUGUCUUAUGAGAGAUUUAAAUUGAAACAUGAUAUCAAUUGAACAGCUGGCUUAGACUAUUCCAGAGCGGAUGAUAUAUAAGAGAACGGUCAAGCACGAGCUUCUGGUUAUUAAAAAAAAUGCAUAUUCAACUUAAGUCUCUCAAAAGAUGCCUUCUCAAAGUAAACCGUACAUACUAUUCUAAUAGUUUGGCACGAGUUAUAGAUCAUUACAUAAAGUGUAUGUUUUUUUGUGAAGAUAUAUGCAGAAGUCUUCAAAACAAUGGUUUCUAUUCUUUUGUUGAAUCUGAGUUCUUCAUGCCAUGAAGACCAACCAAGUCGAACUAAAGCUCCACAACCCCUUCUUCCCGUUCAACCCUUCUAGUCUUGGCUUUGCUUUCAAUACUUCUAGAGUGCACGACUUCGUCUCGUAAGCCAUUUCUUCAUCAUACAAUAUGGACUAAGGCUAGGUUUUAUAGAGACAAUCCUUUUAUUCAUAGUACUUGUCCAACGAGCAAAAAGCUUUCAAAAUAGCCCUUUGAAUGAAAAGUAUUCUUUUUCGAUCUUGUACCUGGUAUACUUAACACCUACUAAAUCUUGAUAAAUAAAGAAGGGAUUUAUCCCAUCUUAUAGUGCUAGAAAAAGAAGGAAGAGUUCAUUUUUCGAUGCCAGGAUUUCUCUUUCUCUGAUGAAAUUUCAAAAGGAUCACUCGUAUAAGCAAGAGUUAUCUUAUAUACUAUACAAUUAAGAAGCCGCUAGAGGUGCCGUUGAGAAUUGCUUCAUUGUGCCUGCUUUGAUCUUGCCUUAAAGUAGAUUCGGGUGUUGGUGCGCUCUUAUUAGCUCUAACUUGGCUCCAUAUCAAUCACUUAUUUCCAUUUCGAUUUUUUUUAUCGCACGAGCUAGUAAGGAGGUAGCAUAAGUGUAUCUUGCUUCUAGAAGAUUUUAUAGUGAUGCACUGGAAUCAACCUUGAAUAACGCCUCUCUGCUAGGAGAAUUCCUUGAUAUAUUGUAAAUUAAAAGUUAGUUCUACCACUCAAUCAAACAUAUUAGUAAUCAUUCCUUUCAGUUUAAAGAAAUCAGGGGCAACAUAUUAGAGCCUAGUCAAUGAAGUUUAGAGAAUCGUUGAUGACGUGGUCAUUAAGAGUUUAAGCCUGACAUGUGACUUCCUCAUUGGAUAGGUUACCACAUGGAGAUAUUGAAAAAUUUCAAGAAUUUUUUUAAAGAGGUUUUAAGGCACUAAAUGAACGGUCCAAGUAAACAUGAGUAAGAAAAUUGGUAAAGGAGAAUGAAAAAGGACUUCAUUUAUAGUCCUAAAUCAAGAAGAUAUCAUAUGUAUUCGGGAUAAGCGAAGCCGAUGGGAUAAAUGAAAAAGAAUUCUAACUUAAGUGAUUGACAGGCACGAAAGAAAGGAAGGGGUAUGGGGGGGUAGGUUUUGUUUGACGCCUCUACUUCUACCUUUUACAAAAUAUAUAUAUAGAGAUAAAAGAUUAUUGCAGAGUAACACUUUCCAUGAUCUGGAAACCUCAUCUUAUUACACUUGAUAGAUCUAAAGGAAAAAUUUAAGCUGAUGACUAUAAAGAAGAACUUAACGGAAUGCAACACAUUCUCCAUCCCUCAUAUUGAAUUUUGAAUUCCCAGUGUAGUUGUUUUUCUUUAUUAAAUUGAAUUUAUCCAGUAGUUUGUCAUCCUAAAAAUAACUUAUUCGUGAUUAUUUUAUUGGAUGCAUGCCAUAGAAAUGAAUUAUAAUAUAACAUGGGGAGUAUUUCUAUUGGGAAGUGCUACAUGUCCAUAAUUAUCUACAUAAUGUUGUUUAUAAUUACACAUGGCACUGGAUCUAACUUUUAAUUCAAAUAUCACAUUGCACAUCAACAAUCAAAUGAUUGCCACAUUAUAUUAUGGACACCAUUAUGUGCAAUAAUUAUAUACAAGUAGAAUUUUCCAUUUCUAUUUUUAUUAUUACACUUAGACAAUGUAUAUCUCAGUUUUGGUGUAUAGUUGACUUGUGAGUCAUCUCUUUGUGUUUUUUGCAUGCCUUUAUUGCUUUGAAAUUUUUUAUAAACUGAAACUUUCAAAAAAAAUUGAAAAAAAGGAAAGUUCAAAGAUACUUUUUGUAUUAUGUAGUUGGAUAACACUGAUCACAUAUCUGUAGGUAAUUUCUAUUAAAAUUUGAGGUCCAUCUUAAUAAGGUCAACCAUUUUAAGAGGAGUAGUCCAAGAUCUUUUAAGUUAGUCAAUAUUUUGGUAUUUAACCGAUGUGAGAUUUUUAUCCCUUAACAUGCCCUUGUAAGAUGGUGACUGCUUUGAACAGACCAAUCUUGCAAUUCAUUGCUCAUUAAUUAAGACUAUAAUUGAAUCGAAUCGCAAGUUAGAGCUUAAUGGACUCUGAUACUAUGUUAAGAUUUGGAAUUCAUCUUAAUAAGGUCAAUAUUUUUAAGAGAAGUAGUCCAAGAUUUUUUUAAGUUGAUUAAUAUUUCAGUAUUUAACCGAUAUGAGAUUUUUAUCCCUUAACAAUUUUGUCUUAUUAAUCGACACAUGUUCAUUGCCGCUAGAAGCUUUGAGUGUUUUAUUGUUUAUAAAUAUCAUCGGUUGAAAUGCCAUUUGUUAAUAUCGUCAGAAUUUUCAUUACUACUAAUUUGUUCAAUGGAUUUUUUUAUCAUUAAUUUCUUGAAAAGCUUCUACCAUAUUAAAUAUUAUUUCGACAAAAUUAUCUAUGUCAUUAAAUAAGAAUGAAAAUGUAAUUGAGUGAGUUUUUCACGAUUGAAAAGCAUAUUUUAAUUUUUUUCAAAAGAGGUUGUGAGGCAAUAUAUUCAAAGCCUGAGGGUGUAGAAUACUUCGACUAUAAUUGGCAACGAUGGGUUCUCUUCAAUCACUACUAGAAAAUGCGGCUUCAUCGAUGGAUAUUUACGUCGCUAAAGGCUAUUAUUCCUUCAGUAACCCUACUAGUCGAUGGAAAUUUCCUGUGGACACAAACCGUCAGUGAAAGUGGGCGUUGGUAAUUUUUCGGACGGAAACAUAGCCAUCAAUGAUUAUUGACGAGGACCUAUACACAAAUCAGUUGGAAAUACCUACGAAUUUUCCAGCAACAAUUUUAGCGAUUGCUUAGUAUAAUGGAAAUUACCGACGAAAUUGUCGAUACUAUUUCCAUGGAUAAGUUCCUACAAAUUUUCCUACGAAAUUAAUUCCAUUGCUACUUUCCAUUCCUAAUUUUAUGAGAAAAAUUCAACAAAAUACUAUGGUGGACAAACGAUAAUGACAACAGGCGAUCACAAUUUUAACUUUAUCAGAUUAGGAUUAGAUUUUUAUCUAUAUCUUGUACUAACGAAGAAGUAAUGACAAAGUCAUUUUAUUCCGUAAACAACACUAAUGGCAUCUAAUGUUACAUCACCAUUUCAUCAACCCACCACUUUUACCAUUCAUUGUCACACCAUCACUAUUGAGUCCACCACCUAUAACAUUCAUUGCAGUAUAGAGGGUGUUUGGUAGGAAUUUUUAUGUGAAAAUGCAUUUUUGAAUAGUAAAUUGAUGAAAAAUGUGUGAUUGAAAAAUAAAAAAAAGUUUUUGAUUUACGUGUAAUAUUAUUUUAAUAAAGAAUGUGUGGUUGAAAAGAAGAGAGAGAAAAAUGCAUUUUGAUAAAAAUGGGUGCCAAACGGGGCCAUAAUCGUUGUAGCAUUUAUUGUUGCACUUUGGAAUUCUCAAUUUUGAAUUUUGAAUUUGUAUCAAAUCAAAAUUCUGAGUUCAAAAUUGUCAAAGUUUAUUCCAACUUUAUGAAUUUUUAGAAAAUAAAAUAUAUUUACAAAAUAGAAAUUCAUUGUUAACCAUAAAAUUUACGUAUAAAGGACAUUACAUUUUCCCACAAUAUUUAUUUAUCAUUUUUCGUAUUAUUCCUUUUUUACAAAUUUUAUUUUCCAUAGAAAUUAUUUUUUUAAUGUUUUUUCUGCGGAUAAUAUAUUAUCAGAAUACAUUUUUCAUUUUGCAAUAUAAUACUGACGGAAUAAAGUAUUUACCAACGGAUUGUUUUUGUUGGAACUUUUAUUUAUUUUUCUAAAUUUUAUAGUUACUGAUGGAAUCAUUUAUUUUAAGAUUCGUCAGAAAAUAUUAAUUGAUUAAUUAGUUGUAUCAAUUAAUCAAGAAUUUUUUUGACCAUUCGUUGGUACUAAAAUAUUCUUUAUCGCAAAAUAAUUUUAAAAAACUUAUUGUUAAUCUAAUCGCUAUUAGCGACGAAGAUUGACUAUCGGUAACUUUUCAUCACUGAAGCUACACUAUCUAGUAGUGUAACUGCAACUUUAAUUUUCAAAAAUCAUAGCCUUAGUAUUAUUGAUUUUCUUAGUACUAUUGAUUUUUUAAUUAAGUAAAAAUCGUUGUCUAUUCAACCAUGAAUUUUAUCUUUUGCAACAAUUUUCUGAAAAAACCAUUAAAACCAUGUGGGAUUUCUCUCACUAACGACAGUUUUUACAAAAGUCGCUGUCAUUUAAGUGUUGUAUUUUAACAGUUUUUUAAUUAUUAUUAUUUUUUAAUAGUGCGGUAAUUCUAAAAUGUACAUCAGGAAGCACUAUAUUACCAAUUCAACACUUUUUCCCCCCAAUCAUGCCCUGAUCAAUACUCCAAUUUCAAUAUUAGAAGGUACUUUUGCAAGAGUUUUCAGAGAUUGCACAAGAUUGAAGGAGGCUGGAUCAAAAGCACAAGAAAAGCACAAAAAUAAGGUGUUCUUGGUAAUCCACAGGAGAUGGACAAUUUGAGAAGAUUGGGAGUAAGUUUUAGUGAAAGCAUGUUUUAACGAGUCUUGGAGAUUGCAGGAAAUAGACCAACGAGUCUAGUGAAUUUUCUAGGCUAAAUCAUACUAUAAGUCAACCUCGUGGAUACAAUACGAUGUAGUUCAAUUUCAAGAACAAAACUAAGUUUCCAAACAAUGCUUAAAAUUUAAAACAGAAACAAACCCACUUAAAAUGAUUGAUUGAAAACCCUUGUGGCAAACAAAUCGGAGACGGCUCAACACUCGAGCGAGCAAGGCAGUUGCUUCAGUCCUUUAUAUUUUAAAAACUUACAAAUUUGGCUAAUUUUUCUAUUCUUUGAAAAGCUCCCGGCCUAAUUACUUGAAUAGCAUGGAAGUAGGAACCUGAAGUGAGGGAAAGAGCAUCAUUCUAGUGAUAAAAGUCACUAUAGGUACAUAAUUUAAAAUUGUAGUAAUAACUUGUAUUGUUCAACAAUUCUAUAAUUUUUACGUCCAUAAAAAAGAAGAUAUUUCCUUGAACCACCAUAAACCUUAGCCAUUAAUUAAAAAAAAAAAAAAAAGAACAUAUAACUAAAAUUACAAUCAAAAGUUCCAAAAUUUUCAUAAAUAUAAAAGAACUAACGAAAAUAACAAAAAGAAGAAUAAAAAAUACUCAAACUUUUUCGAGGAGGUACUAGAAGCUUUAUCGACACGGCCUCAUCUCUGCCAUGCUUAUUACUUGCAAAUCAACAACAGAAUCACCUCUCAAAGUACAACAAUAUAAAACCCAACGCACAACAAAUUAGAACGGGCUGCUGUGGGUAUGUCUUGGAUGCUCCCCAUCCAUGUAAAAGAAAUAAGAGAAUGAAUCAUGGGGUAAUUUUGAGUUUGCGUUUGAAAAUGGAUGAGGUUAUGGAAGUUUUGAGUUUGCAUUUGAAAAUGGAUGAGGUGAUGGUUAUGUGUGGAAGGAAAAAAGCGUAUGAAAACAGACAGGGGGCGGGGGGGGGGGGGGGGAUGUUGAUGGUGAUCAGAGGUUAACACGUGUCCUCACCUCUUUUAUAUAUUACUAGACAGAUAUCAAGAAAAUGAAAGAGAAAAUAAAAGAAAAUCAAUGAAAAAAAAAAAGAGCGAGAGAGAGAGAGAAGAAAAAAGAAAAAAAAAAGGAAGAAGACAGAAUGCAACUGAGGCUGCCGAUUUUUUAUUUAAUAACCUAGCGAAAUUGCAACACAAGUCCUCAAAUUUUGAAAAAGAAAUUAAAACGAUCCCUUAGUUUUUGAACUCUCAACGCCUAGGCAUCUCUUCUCUACCAAAACAGAACAAGAAUAGGGAACAUUUUUGUAGUCGAAUCCCCUAGAUAAUUGCACGUUAGGUCCCUCAACCUUAAUUUUGCAUAAUUUGGGCCUCAAAAAUUCAACUUUUGUAUUAAUUUUCCCCUCCAAAAUUGCAACCCAAGUCCUCCAACUUUUGAUCCUUGUGAAUUUGGUCCCCAACUUCAUGUUAUUGUACGCUUUCGGUCCAUUCUCCUCUAUAUAUAUCCAUUUGGGGUUUAUGACCAACAAAAGCCAAAAUUACAUAAUUGUGAGUCGAUAUCUGCUUUUUUCAUCAAUAAUAAGCAUAUUUAGACAUUAAAUAAGUGCACAAAAAUAUAUACUUACUAUAUUGCAUUAAAGUCAAGAUAGGCUUCAAUUCCCAAUGAGAUAGGGAAAAGGUUCUCCUAUCCAUUGUAGAAGAUAUGUAUGAGCAUGAGAAGGCAUUUGACGAGUUAGAGGUGGUAUAUUUUAGCUGCAAAGAAAGUAUGGCAUGUUGACCAGAACUUAGGUCAAAGUUGCGACCUAUCUCCUAAGGUCAUUAAAUACCUCCAAAUUAUUAGAGGUUGAGGUACUAGUAAUGUAGGAGAGAGUUCAUCUUGCAAGUCAACUAGGUCUCGUUGGUUAUCAUAGUGGCUCGAAGCGAGAGUGAUUUUUCACUAGUGAAGAAAUCUAGGUACAUGAGCAUCAGUGGGGUUCUUGGAAGAGAAGACAGAUACAUUAUGUCCUAGUCAUGUAUCUACCAUGACAUCUAAUAGCAAGUUCUAUAGGUGGCAUCAAUGAUGCAACAAAAAUUGUACCUAGAGAGACUCAGUUUUGUGUUGGGAAAACACGAAAGAUUAGUACAAUAAGACCAUCGAACAAUCUACCAAAAGAGGCUAGUGAAGAUUUGUUU